rnacentral:lncRNA from 1 species
AUGGCUAAAGAGAUAUUGAAAACCCAUGACCUUCAAUUUUGUAGCAGGCCAGCCUUGGUAGGGCAACAAAAGUUAUCUUACAAUGGUCUUGAUUUGGCUUUUUCACCCUAUGAUGAAUAUUGGAGAGAGAUUAGAAAAAUUUGUGUCAUUCAUCUCUUAAACUCUAAUAAGGUACAAAAUUUUCGACCCAUUAGAGAAGAUGAAGUUUCAAGAAUGAUUGAAAAGAUUUCAAAAUCAGUUGCUGCUUCUAAGCUCGUAAACUUAAGUGAGGUAAUGAUGUCUCUUACUAGCACUAUUAUUUGUAGAAUUGGUUUUGGCAAGAGGUACGAUGAAGAUGAAGCAACAAGUGCAAGAAGUAGAUUCCAAGCCUUGCUUAAUGAAACUCAAGCCUUGUUUGUAAGCUUUUUUGUUACAGAUUAUUUUCCUUUCAUGGGCUGGAUUGAUAAGUUCACAGGAAAGAUGCAACGUCUGCAAAAUAACUUCCAAGAACUUGAUAGAUUCUACCAGGAACUCAUCGACGAGCAUUUGGAUCCAAACAGAACAAAAUCAAAAUUGCCGCAACAGGAGGAUAUAAUUGAUGUUUUACUUCAAAUAAGAAAAGAUCGUGGAUUUAAAGUUGACCUGACUUUGGAUAACAUCAAAGCAGUGCUCAUGGUGGAUAAUUUUAUAAAUAGUUAUAUGUAGACUCGUGCUUAGGCGCAGACUCAAAAUUUUGUGCAGAUGCCCAAUUUUACAGUGUUGUAAAACGUUUUAUAAUGCUGUAAAGUGCUCUUUGACGUCUCCGCCUGAGCAUGAUUAAUUUAAUAUAAUUUUAUUCGCUUUAACUAAUUUAAUAUGUAUAUUGUUUGCUUUGCAGAACGUAUUCGUUGCUGGAACAGACACAAGUGCAGCAACUGUGGUUUGGGCCAUGACCUAUCUAACGAAGAAUCCUAGAGCAAUGAAAAAAGUUCAACUGGAAAUUAGAUCGUUGAUUGGGGGCAACAAAGGCUUUGUAAAUGAAGAUGAUGUUCAAGAACUACAUUAUCUUAAAGCCGUAGUGAAGGAGACAAUGAGAUUGCAACCUACAGUGCCGUUACUACUUCCAAGAGAAGCAAUUCAAAAGUGCAUAGUAGAAGGGUAUGAAAUACCAGCUAAAACACGUGUUUUUGUAAAUGCAUGGGCGAUAGGGAGAGAUCCUGAAGCUUGGCAGAAUCCUGAGGAAUUUUAUCCGGAGAGAUUUGUUGAUAGUUGUAUUGACUUUAAAGGGCAAAACUUUGAGUUAAUACCGUUUGGUGCUGGCAGAAGAAUUUGUCCUGGGUUGAAUAUGGGAAUUGUAACUGUGGAGCUUGCACUUGCUAAUCUUCUUUACAAAUUUGAUUGGGAAAUGCCGCCUGGAUUGAAGAGCCAUGACUUUGAUGUUCUGCCCGGACUUGCCAUGCAUAAGAAGAACGUUCUUUCUCUUCGGGCUAAGUAUCAUGUUGAGUAGGUAAAUUAAGGCACCUCCAUCAAUAAGAAGGUAAAUUAAGGCACCUCCAUUAAUAAGGGUUUGAUCUAGCUAAAGGAAAUAUAUGUUAUGCGUCCUCAAUUGUGCUUCUCAAUGUUUUCUUUCUUUCUUCUUAUGUAUAAUGGAUGUUUACGCGAAUGGUUUUUAGUAAGUAAUUUUCUUUUAGUUCAAAAUUUUGGGAGGUAAGGGCUAGAAGAUAAUAGGGACUCUGCCCACUCUCUUAUACCUUUAAAAAAAUGAUAUGAAUGUGAGUAUCAAUUUAUCACAUUUAUUUUGUCUUACAUUUUUCUCUCUCCAAUUUCAAAUUAUAAAUGUAUAUAUAAAUACACGAAACGACCAAUCAAUAUUAUUUACUUGAUAUAACUAAUAAGUAAAUUCAUGGCUUUUUCUAUCACCCCUUUUUUUGUUAGGAGUAUCAGUAAAAUCAGCUCUGUAAUGCUCUACAUCUUUACCGUGAAAGCUGCAUUUUUAUGGAAUCAGCUUACAGUUAUGUACUAACCAAAAAAAAAGAAAAAGAAUAUUACAUCAAUUCUUCAUUGAGAUUUGAGACAUUUUCUUCCUCCAGAAAGUAUACAAGUUAAAAAAACUACACAUCAUUGUGAUUUCAUAACAGCAUCAUCCAUCACUUUCCUAUGAGCUUUUUAUGAGGCCGGAGGCUAAAGCACAAUCAGUUGAGCUGUUAUUGCAUUUCCCACAGCAAGACUGUGGCAAAUCAGUUGACUUUUGACGUUAAAUGGUGGUUUCGGCUUGCAGUCACUUGUGUUUGUUCAAUUUCAAUAAAGGAAAUUUCAUUUUUGUUAAAAUCCAUGAAUAUUAAUUACUACCUUGUUCGCUGUUCAGUAAAACUAAAACAACACCAAAACUUAAAUAUUUUCGCUAUAUCACAAACUUAAAUAUUUUUUUUUUCCCCCUAUACAUCCCUAGUAAGGUUGACAGAAAAAAACCAAAUUUCAAUCGGUAUUGGGAUCCCCUCCCGAAUGAUAGGGGAUUUGGCACUAAUUUUUAAAAUCGAUUCGAUACUAAUUUUAACAAACACUUGCUUUAAACCAACUUAUUCUUCUACCACAUAAUUUACUUAACUUUCAUUACAUGAAAAAUAGUCAUUUUUUUUACCUAACUUGUUCGACAAUAGUUAAAUAUGUUGGUGAGAGGGCAGUUUUCAAUUGUAAAAAUCAAGACAUCGAGAAAAACUAAAAUGGCUAUUUGGUUUUUCUAAUGAAAAACUAAAACAACUAUAUGGUUUAGCGUGAAAUUUUAGCUUCAUUGGUAUUUAUGACGAUUGUAACUAACCAUUAAAAAUGCAUAAUUAUUUUCUACCUGUAGUGAUUUAGGUGCUGUAGAAUUCGAUUAGCAACCUAAGCACUGCCCAAGAUCACAAACCAGAUCCACUAGAUGCUAAGAACCCAAACAAUCAAGCUUUAAGUUUCAACAAAACCUUUAACGAAAAUGGCUUAAUCAGAACACACUCAGAACAAGAAUUAGAAACCAAUCACACCCAAAAGAAAGAGAAAUAUUUACGUGGUUCGAUUGUGCAAAGAAGCACAAUCUACAUCCACGGGAGAAGCCCACAGAGCAAGCUUUAUUGAUGAUUCAAGUAAUCUUUACAGAGCAAUACAAGAGCUAACUACUAGGAUCAAGACGAAGCUUUCUCUCUAUCUUAACUCUCUCUAUCACGCUCUCAGAUCAUCCAUGAAACUGCUUCUUUAACCAGCUUAUAUAGCAGCUGAUAAAGAACCCAGAAGUUGCAGAUUUCCGCCACCUGGACUAACAGCUUCUAACUGAUUUGAUUCUCCACCCCCCGUGCACUUCACAUGUUUCACUUAAGCCUUUUGCCGAAACGUCUCCAGCUCCUGCCGUUUUGAACUUAAGUGAAUCACAUGCCAUGCUCGUGACUCCUGAGUAUAUUAAACAUAUUCCAAACGUUGUCGUUUAACAUGCUCAAGUUUUGGAUUCAACAUUUUAGUCCACACUACCGUUUCAAAAACAUAGUCGAAAAUAAAAUAAUAUUUUCAAUUAUUGUAAUUUUUAAUCAAAAAUAGGAAAAUAUUUUUAAACGUAACUAGGAGUUGGUUGAAAAAACCAUUAAAAAGAUAUAAAAUUUUAACAGACAACAUGGGCACCAAUAAUGUUUUUCACUACUAUAACUUGCAAGGUUGGUCAAAGCAAAAGCUGUAAGGGUAAGUAAAUAUAAUAUAAAAUUAUAUAUCAUCUAAAAGAAAAGUAAUUGUACGUUUUUUUUUCUUAGUUUACUAUUUUUUUUAUCAAACAUGAACUAGAUAAUUAAAUAAUUAAUUAAUUAAUGUAUUUUUUUUAUAGAAUUAAUUAAUGUACUUAAUUGAAAAUAAAAUUAACUUCUACGAUGCAAACAGAAUUUGAGCCCUCAACUGAAAAGAUAAAAUAUGAAAGUGCCUACCACUGGAGCAAGAAAUAAUUUUCAGUAAAUUAUAAAUUAAAUAAUUAUGAAAGGAUUGAUUUUUUCUAAAGGUUUUACUAGGUGCAACAAUGGAAUUGAAUUACCUUAUUUAACUUAGAAGAUAUUGAUUGAUUACAGCAUAGAUAUAAUGUAUGAUAUCUUAAAUUAAACAUCAAUUAACUUCGAAAUUAUAUUGUAGUUCAAAUAAACUCGAUAAUAUUUAUGAUCACAUUCUAUCUUAUACACAAACUUGAAACUUAUGUUAUUGAUUAAGUCUCAACUAUUUUAAUCAUUAUCAUUGAAUCAAUUUAGAAAUUGAUUAUCGAACUAGCUGGUAUUUUAUAGUUAAGUAUUUAAAGAAAUAAUGUCUAUGAUUGAUCAUAAUUAUUGUUGAAUCAAUUUGGAGACUAGCUAAUUUUCAAAUUAAUGUAAUUAUCUAGUGGUCAAUUUCAAUAAAUAGAGUCUAAUAGUUUUCAUAGUUGUAUUAUACUCAUAAUUGUGGAACAUGGAACGUAUACUUCAUACUUAAAACUUAUUGCAUAUAUUAAAAAAAAUAGAUGAUUAGUAAUUAACAUUUAAUUAUAGUUGAAAUAUUAAUUAUUAAAUUAGUCUAAUUGUCUAAGAACAGUCAUACAAUUAAUUUCAAUAGAUAACAAGAACUAUUGCAAUAAUUUUUUUAUAUUUUAAAACAUAUCUCAACUAUGAAUUAUUAAAACUAAUAUAGCUUCAUAGUUUUUAGGCCAAUAUCUAUUUUCAUCUUUUGUUUAUCUUAUUAAUUUAAAUUUAAAAUCUAUGUUAAAUAAUAAAGAUGUUCUAUCAAUCAAUUUAGGCUAUAGAUUAAUUAAACAAUCUAGUAAUCACAUAAUAGGUAUUACAUAUAAUUGUUCAAUUAUAAUAAACUUUAAAUUUGCAUUAAUGAGAUAAGAAGUUUUGUUUUGCAAUUAAUCGAAUCGUAUGCUAAUAAUUUUCAAUAUUUAUUAUUAUUUCAAUAUUUAUUAGUAUGAAAUAACUAACUUAGGAUAAAUAAAUUGAUUGAUUGAUUUUUUCUUAAAUUUUAAUAUCUUGUAUUAUCUCUAUUAACUAUUUGGUCCACUGCCACCUAACUAAAGUUUUUAGUGCAAGUGUAUGUGUACCUAUUCUCCACUCUCUCUAACAAAUAUCUCAAUUAGCCACCGAAUCAAAUCUAAUAAUAGAAUAAAUAAAUAAAAGCCACCGAUAUUAAGCGCAACGGAUGAAUUCAUCUCCUCUUCUUUUGUAUAUUCUCUCCAAAGCUUUCAACUCUAUUUUGGGGUCAUUUUCUUAAUUUUUUUUAAUUAAACUAUAUAGAAACUGGGGAGAUGUUUUCAGAUAUUUAUUAAUUUUUAUCCUUCACCUUUAAUUUCUUAAGUUUGACAUCAGUUAUUGUUGGCCUCACUCUCACAUGGUUGGUUUGAAGCUUUUCUAUCAUGUAGUUCGGUGAAAAUUAUUUGAUUAAUCGUGACUUGCAGGUAAGAAUUAUAUUAUUAUUUUGUGUUAUGUUUUUAAUUUAUUAGAUUUUAAUUCACAAUUUAUUUGAUAACAAGUGAAAGAGAUGUUAAUUAGGAUAGAUUCAUUUUCUUGUUUAGUAUAUAGGAUUUUCUACUUUAAUUUAAUUGUAUCUUAAUAUUUUUUUUAUUGUUAUCAAGGGAAUUAAGAGCCUAGGAAGAAAAAAUUAUGAUAUUCAACUUUCAUAAGGAUUCAGUUGCUCAAUCCACAUUGAUUCUAUCUUUUAUCAACAGCAAAAUAUCAUUGCAAGAGUGCCAUGUAGCCUUUGGUGUAUUUUAUUUUAUUUAAAUAUUUGUCAUGGAUUCAAUGAUUAAUACGUAUUUAUUUUAUCUUUUAGUAGCAUUAAGUUAUUGUAAUAGCAUCAUGUAGCUUUAAGUCAUUGUAAUGGUGUCUUGUAGCACUUGUACUUUGUUUGAGUUGCACAUGUAUUUGUUGAAAUUAUUUAUAAAAGGAUAUUUGUCGAUUGAUUCAUUGAUUUUUUUCUCCUGAGGCAAUUAAUAAAACCAUUUUCAGCCAUAUAUAUUUGUCUACUAAUUCAUCAUUUUUUUUCCUAGAGGCGAUUAAUAAAAUGAUUAUUUUAACGAUGAAGUAGAAUCAAAUGAAUUUCAAUAAUCAUCUUCUUGGAAAUACUAAGAUUCAAUUAGAACUAAUAUUUAUUCGACUAUAAUUUAUUUUUUCCAACUGUUUUUACCCCUAAAAAAUAGUGUAUUUUUAAUGGUAAUUAGUUAGUUGAAAUUGAUAUUGCAAAUACAACUGCUAUCGAAAAUACUCUUUUUUACUACUUAAGGUGGUCAUAAAUAUCAGUCAUUAGUCACAUGUCCAUAUUAAUUUUCAAUCUAUAUUUAUGUAUUUAUGAUUGUCAAUUUCGCACCAAAUAAGCAUAUUUACGGCGGCCAAUCGGUAAAAGUGUGUUUCUAACCUGGGUAUUAGCGAUUACCAGCGACUGAUUAAGGCCAUUGGAAAAACAUAUUUUCAACAGUAUAGCACUUGUUUCAACUGCAUUCAGCAGUUAUAAAAAGUUAUUUUUCUUGUAGUAUAUUUAUACCGCACAUUUUGACUACCACUAAUUUAAGUUGCCUGAUGAACAUAUUUACCACACAUAAAAACUAAAAUAUCUGAGAUAUUUCUUUAGAUAUUUCUAUAGAUAUUUUAACAUUUUAGAUUACAAUAUUUUUCAACACUUGAUUUAAUCACCAAUCGUUGACUAUGAUGACGACAAAAAAUCUAUUUCAUUGUGCUAACCUCACAAGUGAAAAGGACUCCACAAGAGUACAAAACAGAGCCUUGAUCUAAUAAUAUUACCGAAUAUAGCAUUUUGUUUCCUUAUAAAUGGAGAGAGGUUCUGUCUUUGCACUGCAUAACAGAUAUUAAUGGCUUUACUUAUCGUCAUCAACUUCCUUAUGUGUCUCUCAAUCUUCGUCAUCUUCUUUGUUUUGACAUCAAUUUUGUUGGCCUCACCCUUGGCUGAAAGCUUUUUCUGUCAUGUAGAACGGUGAAAAUUAUUUGAUUAAUUGUGGCUCGUAGGUAAGAAUAAUUAUUGUUUUUUGUGUUCAUGUUUUUAAUUUAUUGGAUUUUAAUUCACAAUUUAUUUUAUAACAACUGAAAGAGAUUUUAUUUAGGAUAGAUUCAUUUUCUUGUUUAGUAUAUAGGAAUUUCUACUUUAAUUUAAUUGUAUCGUAAUUUUUUUUUUAUAUAUAUUGUUAUGCGGUGAAUCAAGAGACCUAGGAAGAAAAAAUUAUGGUAUUCAACUUUCAUAAGGAUUCAAUUGCUCAGUCCAUAUUAAUUCUAUCUUUUAUCAACACCAAAAUAUCAUUGCAAGAGUGCCGUGUAGCUUUUGGUGUAUUAUUUUUUAUUUAAGUAUUUGUCAAAGAUUCAAUGACUAAUACAUAUUUAUUUUAUCUUUUAGCAAUAUUAAGUCAUUGUAGUAGUAUUGUGCAAUAGGGAUGACAAAACCCCGGGCCGGGUCCGGGUAUUGCAAUGACCGGACCCUACCCGGAUGCAACCGGUCCGGGUCCAGGUCUGGGCCGGGUUUUAAUCCGAGUACCCGAAUUUUAUAUUUUUUAAUAUUAUAUGUGUAUAUAUUUUUUAUUUUUUGGUAAUUUUAUAAGUUUUAAAUUUAUUUCAAUAAAAUUUGACAUGAAAAUAUAAACUUUAAGUGUUUAAAACUUUAUAUAUGUAUAAUAAAUUAGUCAAAUAAAUAUAAAUAUUUAAAAUAAUAUAUAUUUUAUAAUAUUUUUGUAAUAAAAUCCGGGUUCUGGGUUUAUCAAGUGAUGUCCAAGACCGACCCGGCUUCAUACCCGGCCCAUAACGCCCGGGUACGGUUCGGGUCCAGACCGGGCGGGUAUUUUUGCCACCUCUAUCUUACAUCUUUAAGUCAUUGUAGUAGUGUGGUGUAGGAUUUGUAUUUUGUUUAAGUUGCACAUGUAUUUGUUGAAAUUAUUUAUAAAAGAAUAUUAUUCCACUAAUCCAUUGAUUUUUCUUUUUUCUAUGGGGCAAUUAAUAAAAUCAAUUUGGGCCAUAUAUUUGUCAAUUAAUUCAUUGAUCAUUUUCCUAGGGGUCCAGCUACCUUGCGUCAUGGGUUUGGUACCGCAGUUGUUUGUCUCUUAGCGAAUGACCCUUUAGAUUGUACUGAAUGCAUUCUGCACUAUGGUCCAAUAAUUCUCUUUCAAAUACACUUAGGUCCCCAAAUCAAUAGCUCAAUUCUUCACAUUCAAUUUAAAGCUUUUUUUAACUUCAUUAUCAUUUAUUUAUCAAACAUCACAUACCUGAUGCAGAUCCACCAGGUGUUGAGUUUCUACCAGCAUUCACUCUUGAGCUUGAUGUUGUUUCCAAGUUCUUGCAACGCUUCUGCUUGGCACAGAGAAGUAAAUUUUGUAAGUAAGUACACUCAAUCAAAUACUUCAUACUUAACAUUGAUUGCAUAUAUUAAAAAAAAUGUUAGAUGAUUAGUAAUUAACAUUUAAUUAUAGUUGAAAUAUUGUUUAUUAAAUUAGUCUAAUUGUCUAAGAACGGUCAUACAAUUAAUUUCAACAUAUAAAAAAACUAUUGCAAUAAUUUAUUUAUAUUUUGAAACAUAGCUCAACUAUGAAUUAUUAAAACUAAUAUAGCUUCACAGUUUUUGCAUCAAUAUCUCUUUUCAUCUUUCGCUUAUCUUAUCAAUUUAAAUUUAAAAUCUAUGUUAAAGAUGUUCUGUCAAUCAAUUUAGGCUAGAGAUUAAUUAAACAAUCUAGUAAGCACAUAAUAGGUAUUAUUAUUAAUUGUUCAAUUAUAAUAAACUUUCAAAUUGCAUUAAUGUGAUAAGAAGUUAUAUUUUGCAAUUAAUCGAAUCAUAUGCUAAUAAUUUGCAAUAUUUAUCAGUAUGAAAUAACUAACUUAGAAUAAAUUAAUUAAUUGAUUGAUUUUUUCUUAAAUUUGAAUAUCUUGUAUUAUCUCUAGUAACUGUUUGGUCCACUUAAUUACUAAAAUCCCACCUAACUAAAGUUUUUUGUGCAAAUGUAUAUUUACCGUAACCCACGUUCUCCAUGCUCUCUAACAAAUCUCUCAAUUAGCCACCGAAUCAUAUCCAUUAAUAGAAUAAAAAUAAAAGCCACCGAUAUUAAGCACAAUGGAUGAAUUCAUCUCUACUUCUUUUGUAUAUUCUCUCUAAAGCUUCAAACUCUAUUUUAGGGUUAUUUUCUUAAUUCUUUUGAAUCAAGCUAUAUAGAAUCUGGGGAGAUGUUUUCAAAUAUUUAUUGAAACGACCCGCCCCGAAUCAACCCAGACGAGUUUAUCUAGUCUCAUCAAAACGGACUUGAUAAUAAUUUUAUUCGUAAAGAUUCUGCCGAAAAUUCGGCAGAGUCUCCUUUAUAUAUAUAACACUCCCAAUCUACAAAUAUGAAUAUAACACUCUCAAUACAAGUCAAUAUACAACAAACUCUAGUGCUCAACAUCCUCAACCAAAAUGCUGAGUUUUAUAUCUCCAGAGUCUCAAAAGAUAAUAUUAUAACUAAUAUUAAUAUCUCAAUUUAUUCUUAAUCCCAAAAAGAAUAAUAUAACAAAAGUAUACAAUCCCAAAAGAACAAGAUGACCAAGAUAUCCUAACAAAAACAUUUAUAUCUUCUAACACCAUCACGUGACCAAGACUCAAAAUAUAUUUACAGUCGCUGGGUCGGUCUGGUGUACCUGCAACCUCCUGGUGAGGGGGGAAAAAUAUAAUAAAAACGGGAUGAGUCUAAAACUCAGUGAGAUCAGUGAGUGGAUAGUAGUUUUGAAAAUUAAUUCUUACUUUAAAAGAAAUAAUCAUAUCAUUUCCAAACAUGAUUGCACUAAACCAUAAGCGAGAAACCAGAAAUAAAUAAUUAAACAUUUAAAUCAGAUUACUAACCAUGGAAAUCAUAUCACAAUAUCAUAUAGAAUUCACAAAUCUGAAAAUCAUCACCAAACAAGUACCCAGGGAAAUAAUCUCGUCAUAUCCGGACCUCAACGGACGAGCAAUGACGUACUAUCUGGGUAACGUCACGCCCCGGAGCUACACGGAUAGACAGGGAAAUACCAUCUCAUAUCUCAUCAUAUCCGUGCAUGCAUAAUCUAGUCCCCAAAUGACAAAAACACCCAAGCACAUGGCCCAAAGCCUAUGUGUGUACUCAGACGGGCCCCAAAGGCCUGUAUCUCAUCUGUAUCAUUUGUAUCUCAAUAUCUGUUUGUAUCUUAUAUCUGUAUCUCUGUAAUCAUCAUACCGCAUGCAUAUGCCCCCAAAAGGCAAAAACGCCCAAACACAUGGCCCAAAGCCUCUAUGUGUGUUCAGACGGGCCCCAAAGGCCUCUCAUCUCAUAUCACCUGUAUUACUGUAUCUGGAGGAGAAGGAUACUGUCUAAUGAUUUCAAAAACAAUCAUUAUACUCAUAUUCACAUACCUUUUAAUCAUACUUUAAAUCAUACCACAUUCAAAUCCACUUUUCUUAUCUUUAAAAUAUUAUCAUGCUUUAUUCAAAGUCGAUACGCAAAAUCAAUAACCAAACAUUUUAAUAAAAUACCAAUGCGUGAAUAAAAAUCCAUUUCGAGGAAAUCAUUAAAUCAGAACAUUUAAAAUACUUAUUUCACAAACAUGCAUUACUAUCAUAAUUAACUAUGAAAAUAGGUUUUGUAUAUUCCACUCACAGUGACGGUGUUCACGGUCGGUUAUCGUCCACGUCCGCGGACCGGUUCUCGCUCGCGGAUCCUCCUAAAUCAAGGAAACGACAUAAUUAUUUUCCGUAAAUCGGAAUUACGGCUAAAUUUAUGCAAUAAACUCGAAACGAACAUCUAUCCAUAAUUGACAACUCCCGUGUCCAUAAAAUUACUAAAAUGCCCUUGAGUCCGUAAAUCAUUAACACAUACUCUGAAAUUGUACAACACCGAAUUACCCUCGGAAUCGUAAUUACACCCACUCCUCAAUUCUAGGAAUUACUAAAAUAUCCACAGGCUCAGAAAUUACAAAAUUGCUCUCAUAGUGUGAAAUUACCAAAAUGCCCUUGCCGGUCAACGGUCACAGGAAUUUGGUCAACGCUGGUUAGGAAGCUCAAAUCUGAAAGUUCAAAUCACGCUGAGUUCAAUGGUACCGGCGGUGAGCUCCAUGCGCGGCAACGGCGCCGGAAUCGAGCUCGACAGCCGUGAAUUCCAACAAUCGACCGGCGGCAAAAUAGUGACUCUCGGUGCCUAUGGAUGGUCGGAAAUGGAAGAGGGAGUCGUGGGGAACAAGAUCCAACCGGUGGUGUCACCCAAAACCGGCGAAAAUCCCGGCGGAGUAAAGUGAAACAAUCGCGGGUUCAAGCUUCAAUUGCCGGCGUUCCGGUUGGUUUUCGGCGGCGAGGAUGGCACGGGAACGACGGUCGGCUUCUAAGCUUCAGAUUGGUACCAAGCUCGGCUGAAACGGUGGCCGGAAAUGGGAGAUAUGGUCGGGUCAAGGUCGCCGGUUCCGGGUCGAGUUUUCGGGUCCGUAGUUGGAUCGGUUUGGCAGUUUCCCUUCACUCUCUCUCACACGUGCAUGUUUUUACCCUGUUUCCAGCUUAUUCUUUUACUUAUAAACUCCUUAACCGCCUCAUUUUCAUUUUGAAAUUCACAUAUGUUACAUUUAUUACCUUUUGUCCUUCACCUUUAAUUUCUUAAGUUUGACAUCAGUUUUGUUGGCCUCACCCUUGGCUGAAAGCUUUUUCCGUCACGUAGAUCGGUGAAAAUGAUUUGAUUAAUUGUGGCUCGUAGGUAAGAAUAAUUGAUGGUUGUCGAAGUCAGUAAAAAUAAAUACUUACUCUAAAUAAAUUGUGUAUAGUGAUUGAGCAGGGUCGUGUCCACAGAGAUCGGUAAUAUUUAAAUCUUUUUUAAAAUGUAAAUUGCAAAAUGGGGGGAUUGUUGAUAAUAAUAAAAAUCAAAUUAAAAUUGGGAAAAGCUUUAGUUGAAGGAAUUAACUCAGCUUGAUUCGACUACUGAUCAUUAAUUCAAAUAUAAAUCAUUACUACUUAUGAAUAGACCGGUUAUAGCUACUGAGACCCUCUAAUAGCUAAUCUCUCAUUAACUAGUCGAUAACCAAGGUACGACCAUUGGUUAUUUCCCUAAUCAAUAGAUAACCCUAGAUACGAUCAUAAAAUUUAAUCAAUUGACAGCCUGAAAAAUCAGAGAGACCCAAAUCCUAAUCAACAAACGCAUACGAUGGUUCAUUUAAAUUAGAUUGUUUAUUCUCAUAACACAACGCACUACUAUGCUAUUUGUCACAAAUAUUAAAAUCUUCAUACGAUGAAUCCUUUAAUUGACAAUAGAUUAAGUUGAUAAUUAAAUAGUGGCCAAUUAUCUAAUUAACAAACAUAAUCAUGACAAUAAUUUAGAGAAUAAACAAAUACCCAAAAAGUAAUAAAAUAAUUAAAGCAUAAGAAAGAUCUCACAGUAAUGAUGAAUCAAAGCUUCAUUAAUCUUCAACCAGAAUAAUAGGUUUAGUUAUUCACAGAGAAAAGAGAAAAAUUUAGAUCUAGGGUUUUUUUUUUACAAUAGAUUCCCCCCUUUAAUUCUCUCUCCCCUCUUCUCCUCUAGAGUUCUUUUUAAAAUAAAAUACUAAUAUCUAUUAUCUAAAUAUUAAAUUCGGAAUUACAAAAAUAACCAAAAAGAUAAAACACGUUAAACUAAUAACUGCAGAUCCGUAGUUGACAAUACGCGUCCACGCCUUAUCAACAAAGUUCUUCUGAAGCUCAUAAUUUCUCCAGGAAAACAAUCAUCCUAAAAAAUCAUCUUGUAGCUCAACUUUAUUACCAAUCAAUAGAAUUACACCUACAGAAAUAAAACACAAGUAAAUCACUAUUAUUAAGUGCAAAACAUCGAUAUUAAAGAAAGUAAACAAUGCAAAACUAGAGCAUAAAUUGCACUCUAACAAUAAUUAUUGUUUUUUUGUGUUCAUGUUUUUAAUUUAUUGGAUUUAGUUCACAAUUUAUUUUACAACAACUGAAAUAGAUGUUAAUUAGGAUAGAUUCAUUUUCUUGUUUAGUAUAUAGAAUUUUCUACUUUAAUUUAAUUGUAUCUUAAUUUUUUUUUUUGUUUAUAUAUUGUUAUGCAGUGAAUCAAGAGACCUAGGAAGAAAAAAUUAUGGUAUUCAACUUUCAUAAGGAUUCAAUUGCUCAGUCCACAUUAAUUCUAUCUUUUGUCAACACCAAAAUAUCAUUGGAAAGAGUGCCGCGUAGCUUUUGGUGUAUUAUCUUUUAUUUAAUUUUUUGUCAAGGAUUCAAUGACUAAUACAUAUUUAUUUUAUCUUUUAGCAACAUUAAGUCAUUGUAGUAGCAUCAUGCGGCUUUAAGUCAUUGUAGUAGUGUCGUGUAGGAUUUGUAUUUUGUUUAAGUUGCACAUGUGUUUGUUGAAAUUAUUUAUAAAAGAAUAUUAUUCCACUAAUCCAUUGAUUUUUCUUUUUUCCAUGGGGCAAUUAAUAAAAUCAAUUUGGGCCAUAUAUUUGUCAAUUAAUUCACUGAUCAUUUUCCUAGAGGGGAUUAAUAAAAUGAUAAUUUUAACGAUGAAGUAGAAUAAAAUGAGUUUCAAUAAUCAUUUUCUUCGAAAUACUAAAAUUUAAUUAGAAAUAUAAAUUUUUUCAAACUAAAAUAACAUAUUUUCAAUUGCAUAACCAAUUAGAACUAAUAUUUUUCCGAUUUUUUUUCAUCUGUUUUUACCCCUAGAAAAUAGUGUAUUUUUAAGAGUAAUCAGUUAGUUGAAAUUGAUAUUGCAAAUACAACCGCAAUCGAGAAUUCUCUCCUUUACUACUUAAACUAGAAAAUAGAACCGCGUUUCACGCGGCUUUGAAAAAAUUUAGUAUUAUCUUUUUUUCUUACUUUACACUUGAUGAAAUUGAUAAAAAAUAUGAAUUGAUUUUUUUUUUAAGAUGAGGCGGCCUUAUAAAAAAUAAAAAAAGAUAUUAGCCAGCAAUACAAAUAAAGAAGCAACGCAAGAUAAAGAAUAAAAUGAGAUAAUAUAUUAUAGAGUGAUUUUAUUCAUUCUAAUUGUGUGUGUACAAAAUAAAAAGAUGAGCUCUCCUUUUUAUAGUUACAUAAUCACUCCAUGAAAUUAAUGAAAAAUUAUGGAUCAUAAUUCAUUGUGAGAUAGUGGGAGUUAUAGGGAAGCUAAAGGUUGCUAAUGGGAGAUAGUGGGGAGACUAAGAGAUAUAUGUUAUGAACAUCUACAUUUAUUUUAAUAAAUUCAUAACACUCCCCCUUGGAUGUUCAUUACAAAGAAUAUGCCUCAUUAAAAUCUUUACAUAAUUGUUAUUGUGUAAUAACAAUCAAAUUAAUUAUGAAAAGAUGAAAAGCCAAAUCUAAAAGAAAAUUUAUCUAUUUAUUAGAUAAUAGAGAAUAUACAAAGAUGAGAAAUUGUGAUGCCACAUCACCUCCUCAAAUCCCAACUUUAUAUAUAUAUAUAGAUUGGUCAUGAAUAUGAGUCCUCAGUCACAUGUCCAUAUUAAUUUUGAGAAAUUUAUAAAAAUGACCAUAGAACUUUUACGUUUUUCAACUUUAACCCCCCAAAAUUUUUUCUAUCAUAACUAGCCAAAUAUCUUAUUUUUGGACUAGAUUACCCUCAUCACUUUCAUCAAAUUCACAAAGGUAUGCCACUUUUUCAAUUCCAGCACCACUAAAUACGAAUCUUCCUCAACAACUUAACAAACCUUCAUCACUCUCAACAAACUUCAUCACUCUCAAUAAAUCAACAAAUUCCAUCAAACAAACAUUGCAUAAUUGAAGAUACAAUCAUCAAUUGGAGAGCUUCUUAAAAUUAGUUUAUGCUCUUACACAAUGUAAACCUUUAAUCUAUUGAUUUUAUCAACUAAGUUCGAAAUUAAAGUGGGUUUUGUUGCAAAUGUUGUUAUUUUUCAUUCAUAAAACAAUGUGAUUUGUUAAAGUACUUAGUUUGAGUUGAGAAAUGAAGAAAAAUCAUUAAAAAUACAGAAAAAUCGGGCAAAAAAUGAAGUCCAAAACAAGUGAGACAAGCAGUGAGACAUGUGUCUGUCUCACAUAAACCCACUGAUUUUAUGGAAUAUAUGAUUUUGGAUUUGAUUUGUCUCGUCGUAAGCUUCGAAACGGUAUAAUUAUUACAAUAUUUUGGCUCACUACUCCGAACCCCAAUACACAUAAUCUCUCAAAUCACUAGAACAAGAGCUUUUAUUAUUUAAGCUCUACAAAACUCUCUGCUCUACAGGAAAUGCUUCUCACAAAAUUGGAUGCAGAAAUGAGGAGGAGGAACCUCUUUUUAUACCAAAACUUGGCUACUGUUCAUGCUUUAUUUAAUUAUUAUUUUUUUUCUUCUUCCUUUUCGGUCCGGCAUUCAUUUUUUCUUCCUCUUUUGUCUUCUUUCUUCUUUUCUUUUGUUCCGGUCAAAGAAGCAACCAAUGCAUUCUUCUUCAAAAUCAGUGGGCCCACCUUCUAGAAGGGUGGUGCCCACAUGCCAUUUUCAUCAUUAAAUAGAUGAGGGUUGGAAUAGAAUCUUUUCAAUGUGAAUCAUGAAGGAUCUAUUCAAAAUAAAAGUGAUAAAGAUUAAGAAAGAACUUAAGAAGCUAAGAGCUUUUAGAAGUCUUUGAAGAAAUAAUAUUAAUUUGAAAGGAAAAGAAUUUAAAAUGAAGAAGAAAAAGAUAAUUGAUAAGAAGUAAGACUAACUGUACAUCUGAUUGAGGAACAGGCUUGUUAAUUCAAACUAUUAUAACCAAUUGGGAAUUGAAUUAAGUUAACAGUUAACUCGUAAUUGAAUGUCUAAACUAACAAUGUAUACAAUUACAGAUGAGACUAUAAAAUUGCAAAAAUACUGCUGAUUGUGAAUCAAUUUGAACAUGCCAAUCCUUAGGAAUUCCUUUCAGUAUCAUGGGAUUUAGAUCUCAAUUACCUUUUUUAUUUGAGUACGAUGACAUCCCGAACUAUCAAAAAUACCCACUUGUCCAAACGUGCCUAUGUCCACUUUAUCAUUUAUAUAUGAAAUGUUCUAAUUAAAUGGAGCAAGUCCACAUAAUACAAUCAUUUUCAAUUACCCAGCAUUUGGAAUACAGAUGCUUUGUUUCUUCGUUUUUUUUAUUUUUUGUUCUUUUUUAUUUACUUGAUACAACUAAUAAGUAAACUCAUAGCAUUUUCUAUCACCUCUUUUUUUUUUGGGAGUAUUAGUAAAUCAACUCUGUAAUGCUCUGCCUCUUUACCAUAAAAGCUGCAUUUUAAUGGCAUCAGCUUACAGUUAUGUGUACUAAGUAAAACAAUUCUUUAUUGUGACAUUUUCAUCCUCCAGAAAAUACAUAAAUAAAAUAAAGGAAAUUUUAUUUUUGUUAAAAUCCAUGAAUAUUAAUUACUACCUUGUUCACUGUUCAGUAAAAAUAAAACAACAGUUUUUUUUUUUUUUAAUUUAACAAUAUUGUGUUAGAAUAUACUUCCCAGGUAAGGUUGAUAGAAAAAACCAAAUUUCAAUCAGUAUUGGGAUUCUGUCCCAAAACAAGCACUUACUUAUUACAACUUUUACUAACUUAUUUUUCCACCACACAAUUUACUCAAUUUUUAUUUAUACCACACAAUUUAACUUAUUUUAACUACCACUAACUUAAGUUACUUGGCUAGGGUAAAAUUAUGUUGCAACUGUGGUAUGAUACCACAAUUACAAUCAAUCAUUAAAUUUACAGUUGUACAAUUGUAUUUAUUGGACCUAAUGAUUAAAAGUAACUGUGGUAUCUUGCAACAUAAUUGGACCUACUUUGCUAACAUAUUAUAGAAACCAACAUCCCAGAUUUUUCUUAAGAUAUUUCUACAGAUAUUUUAACAUUUUAGAUUAUAAAUUACUUUUCAACACUUAAUUUAAUCACUGAUUGUUGACGACGACGAAGCCAACAAAUUUGUUUCGUUGUGCUAAUCGGACAAGCGAUAAGGACUUCACAAGAGUACAAAACAGAGCCUCGAUCUAAUAAUAUUACUGAACAUAGCAUUUUUGUUUCCUUAUUAAUGGAUUUGUUUCCUUAUUAAUGGAGAGAAGCAGUUCUGUUUUUGCAGUGAUUAAGCGCAUAGAAGAUAUUAAUGGCUUUACUUAUCAUCAUCAACUUCCUUUUGUGUCUCCCCUUCUUCCUCUUCUUCUUUGCUUUGCAAAGGCUCAUAACCUCAAGAAAUAAUACUAAAUUACCACCCGGCCCCUGGGGCCUUCCCUUAAUCGGUAACUUACACCAGUUUGAUGUCUCAAAGCCUCAAGUGUCAUUUUGGGAGCUGUCACGGAAAUAUGGCCCCCUCAUGUCCUUGCGUCUUGGUUUUGUGCCAUCCCUAGUAGUUUCCUCAGCAAAACUGGCUAAAGAGAUAUUAAAAACCCAUGACCUUCAAUUUUGUAGCAGGCCAGCCUUGGUAGGACAACAAAAGUUAUCUUACAAUGGUCUUGAUUUGGCGUUUUCACCCUAUGAUGGUUAUUGGAGAGAGAUAAGAAAAAUUUGUGUCAUUCAUCUCUUUAACUCUAACAGGGUAGAAAAUUUUCGACCCAUUAGAGAAGAUGAAGUUUCAAGAAUGAUUGAAAAGAUUUCAAAAUCAGUUGCUGCUUCUAAUCCCGUAAACUUAAGCGAGGUAAUGAUGUCUCUUACCAGCACCAUUAUUUGUAGAAUUGGAUUUGGCAAGAGGUAUGAUGACGAUAAAGCAACAAGUGCAAGAAGUAGAUUCCAUGCCCUGCUUAAUGAAACUCAAGCCUUGUUUGUAAGCUUUUUUGUUACAGAUUAUUUUCCUUUCAUGGGCUGGAUUGAUAAGCUCACAGGAAUGAUGCAACGCCUGCAAAAUAACUUCCAAGAACUCGAUAGAUUCUACCAGGAACUCAUCGACGAGCAUUUGGAUCCAAACAGAACAAAAUCAGAAUUGGCGCAACAGGAGGAUAUAAUUGAUGUUUUACUUCAAAUACGAAAAGAUCGUGGAUUUAAAGUUGACUUGACUUUGGACCACAUCAAAGCGGUGCUCAUGGUGAAUAAUUUUAUAAAUAGUUAUAUGUAGACUCGUGCUCAGGCGCAGACUUAAAAUUUUGUGCAGAUACCCAAUUUUACAGUCUUGUAAAAUGGUUUAUAAUGCUGUAAAGUGCCUUUGAUGUCCGCCUGAACAUGAUUAAUUUAAUGUAAUUUUAUUUGCUUUUAACUAAUUUACUAUGUAUGUAUGUAUGUUGUUUGUUUUGCAGAACGUACUCGUUGCUGGAACAGACACGAGUGCAGCAACUGUGGUUUGGGCCAUGACUUACCUAAUGAAGAAUCCUAGAGCAAUGAAAAAAGUUCAACUGGAAAUCAGAUCGUUGAUUGGGUGCAACAAAGGCUUUGUAAAUGAAGAUGAUGUUCAAGAACUGCAUUAUCUUAAAGCGGUAGUGAAGGAGACAAUGAGAUUGCAACCCACAGUACCAUUACUAAUCCCAAGAGAAACAAUUCAAAAGUGCGUAAUAGAUGGGUAUGAAAUACCAGCUAAAACACUUGUCUUUGUAAAUGCAUGGGCGAUAGGAAGAGACCCUGAAGCUUGGGAGAAUCCGGAGGAAUUUUAUCCGGAGAGAUUCGUUGAUAGCUGUAUUGACUUUAAAGGGCAACACUUUGAAUUAAUACCGUUUGGUGCUGGCAGAAGAAUUUGUCCUGGGUUGAAUAUGGGAAUCGCAACUGUGGAUCUCGCACUUGCUAAUCUUCUUUACAAAUUUGAUUGGGAAAUGCCGCCUGGAAUGAAGAGCCAAGACUUGGACUUUGAUGUUCUGCCGGGAAUUACUAUGCAUAAGAAGAAUGCUCUCUCUCUUUCGGCUAAGUAUCAUGAGUAGGUAAAUUAAGGCACCUCGGACAAUAAGAGUUUGAUCUGAACUAAAUAUAUGUUAUAGAGAUUGCAUGUAUGUCCUGAAUUGUGCUUCUCAUGUUUCCUUUCUUUCUUCUUAUGUAUAAUGAAUGUUGAUGUCUAAGUGCCCAUAGGCUGAGUGGUUUUUAAUAAUUAAAUUUCUUUUAGUUCAAAAUUUUGGGAGGUAAGGACUAGAGAAUAAUAGUUACUCUGCUCACUCUCCUAUACUAAAAAAAAAAGGUUGAUAUGAAUGUGAAUAUUAAUCUAGUACGUUCAUUUCAUCUCAUAUUUUUUCUCCUAUAUUUUUUUCUUUAAAUUUAACUUCUAUCACUUAACCUGCUAUCUUUUUAUAUGAUUGGAUAGAGAUUGAAAUUUUUGCUGUUCCAUCUCAAUGUUAAUGCUUAUAUUAUCUUCACACCUUUACUGUAAUUUUUUACUUUUACUAUUAGAUGCUGAUAGGGUCUUUUCUUGGAGAUUGCUUCACAAAAAAAAUUCUGAAAGAAGAUUUUGUUGAUCGGAUAGCAAGCUUAUCCAUAUAGUUUAAUGGAUUAUCUGCAAGAGCUCUUUUUAGUGCGCAUACAGUUGUCCCUUCAUGUUAGCAUAUUCAUUCUGUCGUCAAUGAACUUUUGCAUUUAAAUGGUAUCAGUUCAAGUGAUGAAUGAAUUUUACCUAUUGCCUAUCUUGGACUAAAUUUAAUUUCAAAAAAUGAGCUUCCAGCUUAUGACUUAUACGUAUCUUGCACUUUGGUUUUACGAUCACCAUUGGAUGGAAGAGUGGCUCGAGUUUGUUAAUUGCUUCAGUCCCAGGACUAGUGUUUGGAAACAUAAAAUUUCUCAGUUCAGCAGCUAUAAAUCUGUUUCAUGAUUGUUAUUGCACACUAUUUCCUAUAUUUUUGUCUCCAUGCUCAUACUGAAUUAGUGGUGCAUUUGUCAUCUUUCGCCUCUCAUUAAAAUGUGCUUAUUAUUUUUUAUUUCAAUCGUAGGAUGGGAAGAUUGAUACUGAUUCCAUCUACAAUGGGUUUAAAGACAACGUGAGGUUAAUGUGGGAGCGUUUCUUGUCAUCCCAGCAAAUGUUGACAUAAACAACAGACUGCAAGCUUCCCCUACUCUCUGUUCAUAUUUGCAUUUGUGUGCAUCUUGUACUUGUUGUUGCAGAAAGAUGAAUAUGUAAGAAUAAGAUCGUGUUUGUAUGCAAUGGUCAAAUGUUUUUGCAAAAAAUGUCGUUGCUUGAGUUCCUCAAUUCUCAUUCUGAACUUCAAAUUUUGUACAUUUCUUUAACUUAAUUUUUUUUUUUUCUGUGUAAUAGUAGUAUAAGUUUGGUAUCAAAAUUAAGCUAGUGACAUACUUGGAUCACUUGGGAUCCACUUGCAAAUGUAUUUUGAAGAAAAGUUUUCUCCCCGCCUUUUAUGUAAUCACACCCACCAGUAAUAUGGUAAUUUAUUGAAAGGUCCUUGAUGCCCGGUAAAAGUUAUAAUUAAAUUAAUAAACUUAUCUUUUUAAAUUAAUAAACUCAUCUUUUUGAAUAAGUUCAUCAUUUUGUACGUAUAUUAGUUUUUUUUUUUUAAAUUCCUUUUAUUUCUAAACUAUUGGUUGGAAGCAAAUAUUUCACUGUAAUCUCCUGUCGACCAAAGGAGAUGCCUUUCCCAAAGCAAGAAAAGAAAACACAAAAAGCCCACUUCAAAAACUUGUGCAAGAAGGAGAUGUGAUUACGCUGUCUUUCUGUUUCUUGGUGCGUGUAUAGAUAUAUACAUACACACAUAAGUCUGAGGACCAGCUGGCCAACAGCCCACUAGGAAGCAAUUUUAAAAUUUUUGGUCAGUAUUGUUCUUUAUAUCUUAUGAAUUUUUCCUUCAAUUAUUAUAUUUUCACUCAGUUUUGUUUUUGGGCACGCGUUAUGUGAUUUUCUUUUGAUGAUUUCCGUGGCUUCUUUUUAGCUCUUAUUUUACUGUUUCUACUGGUUAGUUUAGCUACUGUCUACUGAGAUAAAAUUAUUUGCUUGAAUAACUUAAUCUUUUGCUAUUUUAUUACGUUCAGUUUAUAUACAGUUGAUUCAUUGUAACAAAUGUUAUCAUAAAUGAUUCUUGAGUAAUUUCAUUUAUUUACUUUUUCUUCUUUCAUAGUUGGCCUGUACGGUAUCAUUUACUUUUAUCUUUUUUCAAAUUUCUUUUAAUCUACAGAAUGUUUGUUUUAGUCCUGAUCUUGGGUUACUGAAAUGUUUCAUUCCCUUUUCCUAAGUAUUUUUGUUGCUUGUUUAUCGGGCAAUACUGCAACAGUGAUUUUAAUUCACAAAAUUCUGUAAAUACUUAUUAUUCUUAGUGUGGUUUUAAGGUAGAGUGAAGUUAAUAUUAUCAUAAUGGCUUACAUUCCUCCACAUAUGAGGCAUACGAAGGACCCCCAGAGGCCAUCUCCAGUUCCAGAGAUGAUUGUGCCUAAAUUCAACAGAAAAUUAAACUUGGGAUCAUCCAAGCAUAAUGCAGACAUAAGUGGAAAGAUCGUGUAUGCAGAUCCUGCCAUACACAGGUGGUUCAUUUGUGGCUUGGAUAAUGAUAGCAGCAGUCCUUCUGUCCGCUUUGUGGAGUUUUCAGACGACCCUGUUGAGCAUAAAAAAUCGACGACCAUUAAUCUGGCUCGAGGUUACUGAUCUGCAUUUGUAAUUUUAUCUUAAAUAUGUUCUACUUUCUUUCUUUAUUUAUAUCUGGUGCUAACUUUAGUUAUAUUGACAUUUGGAUUUUGGGUUGGUAGAUAACGAUAAAUUGUGUGGGAAUACAUCAAGAAGCCCAUGGGAAUCGAUAGCAGAAAAUGUAUGGCCAGAUGUAUUGAGUGCUUGUAAUAUUGUCAAGAACGAAAUGGAGGAAAAGCCAACAAUGGUUGCUAGAUUUGGCCAUCAUCUUUUCCGUGAGUAUGUGAUCUGGUUCCAUUGCUGUAACAGCUUGAAUUUUUUAUUAGGUCAUUCCUUUUCUUUGGACUUUGAAAUUAAAGCAGCAAAAAUGCAUAUUCAUACUUAAUUCUGACAGAAAUCUUAUGGUCAUAUAAGUGGUGGCAGCUAAAAUUAUGAGCUUUACCAUUAACCCUACCACCAGCUGUGGAUGACUGUAAAUCGGAUCUCUAAACCAGGGACAAAAGUUAAAAUUGCUUUUAAAAGCCAAAGAGGAAAAUGGCAAUUUAUAGUGCAUGCACUUCUUUCAGACUUGUAUCUCAUAGAAGCUUUCAUGGCAUCUGGAAUUUGGCUUUGGCUUUGCGUAGGACAUUUCAAUUGUUGCUGGUGGAAACAAAUAUAUCCAUUGUCUUAGUUUUGCUUGAUUUCCGGUGCAAGAAACAAAUAAAUUUGUUGCCGUGGCCAAGUUUUGUUGUUUGAUAUUUCAUUGGGACAACAAAGUAUACCACUGCUUCGCCUAUUUCUUACAUCUUUGCAUCAUAUAUUUCCAUUCUUCUAUCACAUCUUUGAAGCUUCUACUAGUUCUCAUAUUAGAAGCGCCUCAAAGAAAUAAUUAUUAUAUUAUUCGUCUUAAUGAAGGAGUGACAUACUGAGCUUAGAAAAUGCGAAAGAAGGUCAGGUUGCUGAAUCUGCUUUGAGCCCACUGAGGAGAUGCUUUUACACUGGUGUCCCUCCUACAUACAUGGGAAAAAUUGUAAAUGAAGUUGUGCCAAAAAUUGGGGUUGGUUUUGUAGAGAACAAGGAUAUAUACCAUGUCAAGGUAGUUCUCCUGCAGUCCUGCUAAAUACUUUAGUAGUCAUGACCAAGUUUCUUUUAUCUCUCAAUUAAUUAGCCAUUGAUUCCCCCCCCCCCUUUCUUUUUCUUGUGUAGUUGUCUGAUGGCACACGACAAAUUACGUGCAAAUGUACUGUUAAAGAAGAUCAAAAGCUUCAUCUCUAUAAGGCAAGUCUUUUGCUACUGGCUGAGUAUUAUUUAUGGACAACGGGUCCAAGUUUAUAAGUUGCCUCUUGUGUUAAGGAGACUUUUGCUAGUGGAAACAUUGAAACAAGACUUAUGAUGUUUUGAUUUGAAUGAUAUAAUCUUUUCACUGUGAAUUAUGAAGGAGAUGUCGAAUAUAAGCGAUAGAUAUCAAGAAAGAGACGAAACCUUUGUGUCUCAAAAGAACCUUUUAGAAGUCUCUCCAGGAAUAAUCUCAGUUAAGAGGAAAAGAAUUUAAAAUGAAAAGAAGGAAGAAAAUUCUCAAGAAGUAAGACUAAUUCUACAUCUAAUUGAGGAACAGGCUUGUUAAUUUAACAAGGAAAGCUCCAGUAGCUAUUUAUUAUAAACCAAUUAAAAAUUGAAUUAAAUUAAUAGUUAACUUGUAAUUGAAUGUCUAAUCCAACAAACUAUGCAUAAGAUUACAGACGUAACUAUGUAAUACAAAAAACCUCUGCUUAUUGUAGACCAAAGUGAAUAUGCCAAUAUUUAGGAAUUUCUUUCAGCAUCAUGGGAUUUAGAUCCCUAUAAUCUUUUUUUAUUUUAGUGUAGUGACGUCCGGAAGACCAGAAUUAUCACGUACCUCGUACUAGUCGUUUUAUUUAUUUUGUCUUUUAAAGCGCCACAUUAUUUCCCAUACAGUCAUAAUAUAUCUAUUUUUUGUUUAUUUAUCGUUGCCGUGUGUGGAGUCUCAUCUUGAAUAUGAACAUUUUUCCGGUAGGUCGAACUGAACUCUGUUCGUCACAUGGUAGCAGACAUGUUAUGCGUUCAUAAAAAUCUAGACCUGAGGUUGGCACUAUGUUCAAAGAGUACCUUAUCUGCUCUCUCGGUAAGUCAAUCUGCUCCUCCGUGCAUGUUUUAGCUGGACUUUUAAGUUACGCCUUCUUUUUUCCCCUUUUUAUUUUAUUUGGUCAUUUGCUUGUUGGAAUCAUCAUCAUUACAGAAUGAUGAAGAAAAAUUCAAGACCAGGGGAAAUAAGGAAAUAUUAAACUUAUAGCUUUUGUUUUAUCAUAGAAAGUUUACUUUCAAGGGGUUGAGAAAAAAUUUAUAUAUAUAUAUAUACACACACACAUACACACACACACACACACACACACGACAAGCUUAAAACGGUUAAACAUUAGCAUGCAUGAUCCUUUUCUUCAAAACUGAAACUUUACAAAUGUUAAAAAUAGAAUAACAAAUAAAUUAUUAGAUUUCCAAAAUCAGUUACCGUUAUGCAGGCUUAAAACAAAAGUUAAAUAUAAGCUCUUUUUUUUUUUUUUGGGGGGGGGGGGGGGGGGGGGGCGUGUGUGCCUAUGAGUAGUCCCAGCAAAUGAAUUCUAUGAUCAAACUGAAAUUUUUGAAUUUUCAGGAUGAUGAAAUGAACAGCAUUAGAAUUCUGAUUAAUUCAGCCAUUCCGGAUCCGGAAGUCAAGGGUGGGUUAAGAUGGCCCAUGGGGAAGUCAUAUUCAGGGGAUUACACAAUUGUUGGGGUUUGGCACAAUGAAUUUAAAUCAUAUAAAAGCCCAUCACUAAAGCUUAAGGUAAGAAAUGUUGAUCGAUUUAUUUUCAAGACUGGAACUGGGGAAGCUACGAUUGAGAUUAAUCUAAAGUUGAGAAGACUAGUUUCAGAGAUUCAGGUACUUGCUGCUUUUUGCUUUAACUUUUAUCACAAAACCUACUAUCUUUGUGCAUGAUUACAUGGAUCUUGAAAUUCUUGCUGUUAUGUCAUAAUGUUAAUGCAUAUUUUGUCUUCACGCAUUUCUUACUGAACUUGUGUCUUGAGCUGUAAUUGUAAUUUCCAAUUUUUACUAUUAGAUGGGUAUUUUAUUGGGGAUUUCUUUACUUAAAAAAAAAAUAUGUUUGACAGAGAAUAUUUUAACGAUGAGAUUGCAAUAUUGUAAUAGAUAAUCUUCAGGAACUCUUUUUACCUUUUAGUAGUUAUGCAGUUGCUCCUCUGUGUUAGCUUAUUUAUUCUAUCAUAUGUAACGAAUGACUUUUUACCAAAUUUGAUUUCAAAGCUGAGCUUCCAGCUUAUGACUAAUAUUUGUGUCUUGCACUUUUGUUUUACAAUCACCAUUAGAUGGAAGAGUGCUUAGAGUUAGUUAAUUGAUUCAAUCCCAGGAUUAGUCUUUUGAAACAUAAAAUUUAUCGGCUAAGCUAUAUAAAUCUGUUUCAUGUUUCUUAUCGCACACUAUUUCGUAUGGCUUUGUCUCCAUGCUCAUACAAAAUUAGUGUUGUAUUAGAUGUCUUCUGUCUUUCAUUCACAUGUACUUAUUACUUUUUCUUUCAAUCGUCAGGAUGGGGAGAUUGAUACUGAUUCCAUCUACAAUGGGUUUAACGACAACUUGAGGUUAAUAUGGGACCAUUUCUUGUCAUGGGAGUCAUAACUUUUGACAAAAACAACAGAUUGCAUGCUCUCCCCGCUCGGUUCAUAUUUGCGUUUGUGUGCAUCCUGCAGUUGAAGAUGUAGAAUGAUGUAAAUGCAAGAAUAAGAGCAUGUUCGUAUCCAAUGGUAAAAUGUUUUUGCUAAAAUGUAUGGACUUGUAACAGCUUGUUGCGUGAGUUUCUCAAUCUCCUGAACCUCAAAUUUUGUCCUAUUUUCACCCCGGCUUUUUCCCCCCGUCCUCUGUAAUAGUUAUAUUUGGUAUAAGUUUGGCAGUUCCUGUGUAAAGUGUUUCAUAUUCAUGUGUGGAAUAAAUAUCAACAUCCAGAUACAAGAAAGUUUGAUUUUAUUUGUAAGACCUGUCUCUCAAAGUUAAUCUAGUGACAUGCUUGAAGCACUUGGGAUCCACUAGUUGGAUGUAUUUUUGUUAAGAUUUAUUUAGCAUUUUGUAUGUGUAUCAGUGCCUUUUUUUUUUGUUGUUAAACCGUUGGUUAGAGGGCAAAUAUUUCACAUUAAAGUGGGGUCUGCUUGCCACCAAGGGAGAUGCCUUUCCCAAAGCAAGAAACGAAAACUCAAAAGCCCACUUCAUAACUUGUGUAAGAAGGAGAUGUAAUUGACAUAUGCUGUCCUUUUUCUUGGUGCGUGUAUGUGUGUGUAUACACACUUAAUUCCGAAGAUCAACUGAGCCAACAGCCAAAACUUGAAAGCAAUUUUAAAAUUUUCGGUUAGUAUUGUACUUUAUAUCUUUUGAAUUUCUCUUUAAUUUAUUAUAUUUUCACUUUAGUUUUGUUUCUGGGUACUCUUUAUGGGCCACAAUUAUGGUACCACUGUGGUACCAUACCACAGCUGGAUCCAGCCAUUGGAUCCGGCCUACAGUGGUCCCCAUAGCUGGAUCCAAUGGCUGGAUCCAGCUGUGGUAUGGUACCACAGUGGUACCAUAGCCGGACCCCUCUUUAUGUGCUUUUCUUCGAUGAUUUUGGUGAGCUCAUAUUUUACUGUUUCCACUGGUUAGUUUAGUUAUUGUCUACUAAGAUAAAAUUAUUUGCUUCAAUAACAUAGAGUAUUGAGGUGUUGUAAUUUAAAAUUUUAGAAAAAAAUAUAUUUAUAAAAUAAAAGUUAAUAGUAUGUGGUAAAUAUAAUUUUAAAAUAAUAAUUUUAAUAAAAUUAGUAAAGAUAUAAUAGAUUUUCAUCAUAUAAAAGUAAAAUCAAAUCAACUUAAUUUCUAAACUACAUAAAUUAAUUUUUAUAAAACACUUUAGUGCUGUAACUACCCAACCUCAAUCUAAAGUAUAGCCUUAAUUGUUUGCUAUUUUAUUAUGUGAUUGUAUAUAGAGUUAAUUAAUUGUAUCAAAUGUCAUUAUAAAUGAUGCAUGAGCAAUUUCAUAUUGUUUUUCUUUCCUUCAUUGAUAAUUGGCUUGUCGGAUAUCUUUGAACUUUUUUUUUUCGCCUCAAAGUUCUUUUAGUCUGCAGAAUGUUGGUUUUAGUUUCGAUCUUGGUUACUGCAAUAUUUCAUUCAUUCUUUCUAAGCAUAGUGGGUUCAUUUCACAAAAUUCUGUAAUAAGUACUUAUUGUAGUUUAAGGUAGCGCGAAGUAAUAUUAUCGUAAUGUCUUACAUUCCACCACAUAAGCAGCAGUUUGUAAUCAAGACUGCAGAGAAUCUUGCAGAUAUAUUGACUAAGGUGGUGACGACAAUUAAGUUUGAGCAUUAUCUAAACUUGAUCAAUAUCUUACAAGUUUGAAAAUAGUCAGAGAAGACAGAGACUGGAGGAUGGUUUGUUGAUAGUCGGCUCAGAUUUACUAAAUUUUCGUUAAGGUAGAGAAUUGUUGAAAAAUCAAGCAUGCUUGCAUGAGCUAGCUAGCAUGCAAAUUUCAAGCCCACCAAUGUUCAGCUAGCGUGAUCCAAUUGCAUGUGCUAGCAUGAUCUCUUCGUCAAAAGUCACACCAAAGCCAUUAAAAUUGAAAAUGGCCAAAGUUUUUUUUUCAUGCAUUUAUAUUGUAAGAUUUGCCUAUAAAUAGAGGAGUAGAAUGCAUUUGUAAAGCAUCCCAAUUUGUGAGAAGUAGAGAGCAAUUGCAAGUGAGCUCUUUGAGAGAAUUUGAGAGAGCUUCCACUUGAGUGUUCUAGUUGUUGUGCAAAUUUUAAUGUACUCGCAAGCGCACGAAUCUAUUGUAGUAUAGAUCAAUGGUGACGAGUGUCGAUCCCACGAGGAGGUGGAUUUUAAUUGUGUAUAGAAUUAAUUUUGUAAAUGGGUGGUUGGAUCUGUGGUGGAAAUGAAUUGGAAUAUGCUAAAACUUAAAUUAAAAUGGCGAGAAUAAAUUCUAAAAUUGGAAUUGCAAUGGCGAGAAUAAAUUGAAGAGAAAUGUAUUGAAAUGACGUACUUGGGUAUCUGGAUCCGUAUCAACAUGCAUCAUGGGCUAAAUAAUCCGUAUUAAUGCCAAUUAAAUCAUGAGGGGGGAAUCCACACCUCAUGAACCACGCUCUAAUCAAUAUGGUGCUAAGGGCUUAUCGUGCCAAAUAAUAAUAACCUUAUACUAGAGAGCCGGUGUAACCAAGGCGGUAUCUAGACAAGAUCAGUAUUAUUUGUCGACGAUAAGUCAAAUCAUCCACAAAAACUAGAGGGGAAAAGAAAAUAAAUUUACCAAAUAAAGCCCAUGACACAUGUUGAGACUUCACCUUCAACCCAAGCUUGAAAGGAAAUUAGCUACUCAUAAUUGAACUAGGGGCAAAAUGAAAAUUUAUUAAAAUACGAAGAAAAUACAAGAUGGAGAAGGAAUUACAGAAAAUGGAUCCCAAAAAUGGAUUCAGAGAUAUCAAAUUAGGGGGGGGAGGCCCCUUUUUUAUAGAUACAUGGAGUAAAUCAUGGCCAUCGGAUUAAAAACAGUUUGGACGCUCAGGAUUGCGCCACGUCAUCAGUCAACAGUCCACGGUUUGACCACGCGGAUGAACAGUAACACGGUUUGACCACGCGGAUGAACAGUAACGCGGUUUGGUUGAAAAUAAUCCUGUGUGAUGCAUGCACCGUACGCGAGAUUUUUCGUCCACUGAUAUGCUGCCACGUCACCAUCAACAGUACAUAAGAAUUUUAGUCCAACAGGAUCGUGACACCUCAUCAGUCAAUGCCACAUCAUCGGUCAAUGCCACGUCAUCGAUCCGUCUAUGUGAACAGUGUCGUGAACAGUAACGUAGACAGUACCGUAUACGUGAAUAGUACCGUACAUGUGAAUAGUGCCAUUUUUCUUUUUAUGCCCCUCCUAAGGUUUUCGACCGUCCUGAGUUCAAAAGUGAUGUCCGUUUUGCCAUCUGAUCUCUCCUUUAUUGUGAAAUAACUAUAAUGCCCCUAAAAUACAUAAAAUACUUAAUUAAAAUAAAACACAUGUAAUUAAAUCACAAGAAGGUUAAAUACAUAAAAGUAAGGGUUUUUAAUAAGACUUGAAAUGUAAAAUGACGGUUUUCUCCUUUAUAAAUAUGCAUUUUCUAACACUCAACACACCCCCCAACCAGCUUAUUGCUAGUCCCUAGCAAAUAAAGCGAAAACAAAAUUCAAAUUCAAAAUGAUUUUUUUUUUUUUUUUGAACUACUCGUGUUUAUUCAAUCAGAUUAAUGAUAGCAAUCAAAUAAAAGUAUAAGCAUUAUCUCCAGUCUAAAGCAACAUCACACCCACAUCAACCAUCCACAUGAAUUAGCCCAGUAGACUUUGUUAUAGCUACUUUCAAGAAUGACAUGUCAAACCCCAAAAUCUCACUUGAAGUAGUGACACUCUCACAAAGAAAUUAAAACCCAAUAAACAUAGUCACUCCAAUGAAUGGUAAUUGAGAGAGAAAAUAAUAAAGAAAUGAUAUCACAUGCUCUCACCAAGAUGAAAUAAAUAUGCCCUCAGCUUAGAAAUAAUGCGAUCUCAAGUCAAAUAAAAUGUUAGUCAACCCACUUUAUUUAUCUUUUUUUUUUAUUAUUAUUAUGCAUCACUACAUCUUUUUAGCCCAUAUAACUAGCUUCUACUUCAAACUAUAGUUCCCUAAAAUCAAGAAGGACUUUUAUUAGGACGUAACGUAGGCUAGGGAUAUGGCUAACAAAGAAAGGAAAUAAGGAAAACAAAGUGUAUGUUUGAAAAAAAUGCAGAAUUUUUUUUUUUUUUUUUUUUUUGGAACUUGCAAGGUGGAUUUCACCUAUUAUUGUUAUUUUUAUUCUUUUGAAACAACAACUUUUGUUUUUGUUUUUGUUUUUUUUGUUUUUUUUUUUUGCUUUUAUUUGGCAUAACUUCACUGAACAACAUAAUUAUUUACAUUUUCUCAAACAUAAAUAGGUGAUGGAACUUAAAAGACAUUGGGUAAUACUCCAAAUCGGAGUGGGUCAAGAUGAUAAGUUGACAAAGAAAAGGUUUUUGUUCUUUUUUUUUUUUUUUUUUUUUUUUUUUUUUUUAAGGCUCAAAAGGGGUAACUAUGGAUAUUUAAUAAAAGGGAUGGCUAGAAAGGCUCAAACGGAUCAAAGAUGGCCUUUCUAUCGUCUUUUAGGGCUCUAAAUAAUUAUCCAUAUCUACUAGUUAGAUGGGCCUCCCAAUGUAGCAACACACAUUUUUUUCUUUUUUCUUUUUUUUUUUAAUUUUACCAUAUUUUUUUUUUUUUAAAAGGGUUAACUUAAAAGAAAUCUAGAGAUCGUGUAUAAAAUAAUAAACUGCUAAGCUGUAUAGAGAAUGGGUAAAAGGGUUACUCUCCAAGAAAAUGAUAGGCUCAACUACUCACUUGGCACUUAUUUAUGACAUGUUCAUUCCUUCAAGCAACUCAUAUUUGUCUCCGACAUCAACAUGUAAAGUAGCAAACAUAGCGUAACAUCACUUAAGACCAAAGAUAAUACAAAUACUAAAAUUUGAAAUUAGUCAUGUCAUCCAAUGUUAAAACAAAUAACACAAUUUUUUUUAAACAACAUUCUACCCCCCAACCUAUUCUAAACAUGAAAGGAAAAUAUGCAUGCAGAAAUGUGAAAAUGAUGUAGAAAAAUUAAUUAGAAAAAGAAUUUUUUUUUUUUUUUUUAAACUAAGAAGAUGCGUUUCUAGAGGCACUACACUCCAUAUUCAGCCAUCUUCGACUCAAAAAUUUGAAACUACAUAUUUAUAAAGGAGAAAGAGGAAGAAAACAGGUUUUUUUUUUUUUUUUUUUUAAAACGAUGAAGAUGCGUUUCUAGAGUAACUACACUCCAUAUUCAGCCAUCUUCAACAUAAAAUGUUAGCAACAGUUAGUUUCUACAACAAAAAAUCAGUAAAAACUUAACCAAGAUUCCACAAUUGUCGACUAUUCCCUUCCCCCAACUAGAACGAAACAUUGUCCUCAAUGUUUUAAAGGAAAGAAGUAGAGUUUAGAAGACAUCACCUGGGUGGUGCAACACAGAAGAAAAUAUUUACAAGCGGAGAGUUAAAUCUAAUUUGUACUUCUUACUGCGGCUACUGUUACCAUCAUUAUUUGGUCGCUCCAACACAAAGGUCCAGGGGUCUGGCUCCGGUUUAUAAGCUUGUAACAUAUCAAGUAGCUCAUUAGCAGUGUGAGCACAAAUAAAGAGUUUUUUCACAUUAGAAGGAAUGAAAUAGUUUUUUAUUGCAUGGUUAAGAAAUGCGAUAAAGUCAUCAUAAAAGUUAUUGACAUUUAACAAACCGAUAGGUUUCUGGUGGAUGUGCAGAUGGGCCCAAGAUGCUAGUGUCAUAAGUGCCUCUAGUGUUGCAAGAUCUCCUGGAAGGAAAAUAAAAGCAUCAGCAUGAUUAAGCAUUUCAGUUAUUCUUUCUUGCAUACCUGAGACGACUAACUCUUCUCCAGUUGAUGAGUCAGACGAACUGCCCAAUGGUUUUAGGACUCUUGGGAUGAUGCCUAACACUUGACUUCCUCUGAUAAAAGCUGCUUCUGAGACCAUUUUUGAUAACCCUCGGUUACCUCCUCCAUACACCAAAUGUAAUUUUCUCGCUGCUAUGCUUCGACCAAGAUCUAUGGCUGCCUCAACGAACUCUUUAUGUUUGCCAUAGGUAAAUCCAGAAAGCACACAAAUGUUCUUGAAUUGUCUAUUGGGAGUAGCGGCCAUUGUGAUACUUCUCAAAAAUAAUUUGUGAGUGCUUGACAAAAAAUAGAUCACAUUUAAGAAUCUUGGUGACAGUGGAUCACAGCUGUGAAUGAGGUAACAUGUCAGUGUGAAAUAACGCGUGAAGCACAUGGCUUGCGAGUCAAAAAGGAAACAGUAAAAAGGAAAAAGCAAACAGUAAUAAAAUUAUUAAAGACAAUAAUGCAAACAAUAAAACAACAGUGAAAUGAAAUAAAAUAACAGUAAAGUAAAAUGAUAUUUACACGUAGUUGCGACUGUGGCUCACAUCUUCCUCUGGUUUUACGUCCAGAAACGGCUUGAACGCCCUCUAUGGGUCGAGGAUGGGCUUCCCAUCCAGUUUUCUUAUAAACUGGCAAACAGGGUCGUUUAUAGUCAGAUUCCCGAGACUAUAUCGUGCAUGCUCUUUCUGGAAUAAUGGCCAUAACCGGAGAAUCGCUCCUUGCACAUAUCCACUGGGAUGCGUUUCAAGAGACAAAAGGAUAUCAUCCAAUGACUCCUUAUUCAAGCCAUCCCUAAUGAAUUGAAUCUUAUCUUCCCUGUUAUCAGACACCAUUCCUAAAGAACAUGGGUUUCUAUCGCAACUCAUUCUGGCACACUUAUGACAAGCAACAGAAAUUCUUCGAGCUCGUCGUUUUCUUGCAUAAUUGCCUUUACCACAACCAGGCAUGUAUGCAAUAAAUUUAUGAGGUAACUCACCUGCCAAUCGUACUUUAGCCUCGAUUAACCAACGGAUGUCUGCAGGUAUGUUAUUCCUCAUGAGCAAUCGCAUGCGUUCAGACCGGGCUUUAUAGAUUGUAAGGAGGGCAUUCUGAGGAAGUGAAGGGAAUCGCUUGUGAAGCUUUGCUAAAAUCUCGUUUCUAUCCAUACCUUCGCCUCAGAAUAUCAGUUAUUAUGGGAAACUGAAGUUAACCGACUUGAUUGUCACGGAGUACCGUUAUCCGCCACUUCACCGGGGUAACAAACUAAAGCACACAAACAGAAAAACAAAUUAAAACACACAAAGAAAAUUAAAAUCGUCCUCUUAUUGAAUUUACCUCAAGCUCCAACUGGAUGUCGUAAACACUUCUCUCAAUGUCUCUGAGUUGGCGUUCUAAACCCUCAACAUAGGCUACUAACUCUGGUGGUUGUAGAGCCCAAAUGCGUUGUGUUUUACAAAAUAGAAUCUGCCUUUUGAGAUGAGUUUUGACACGUUGAAGUGGUUUAAGAAUGUUCAGGAGGAACGGUCUAAGUAUGAGACUCAUGAUUAAAAAUGAUAAGAGAAAACUUAAUUGUUAAACAAACACACUUAUGCAAAAAUAAUUUCAAUUAGCAAAAGAAUAAUAAAAAGAAAGAAAGAAAAAUCAAAUCAAUAAAAAGAGAAAAAAAAAAUUAAUUCAAAUCUGGUGGGUCACUCAAAUUUAUUUCGGUGUCUUCUUCAUGUGGUUGGUACUCUAGAUAUGGCUUUAAUCUUUGACCAUUAACUUUAAACGUGACACCGUUCUUUGGGUCUUUAAUUUCAAUUGCCCCAUGUGGAAAAACAGUAUGAACAAUAAAGGGACCAGACCAUCGAGAGCGUAACUUACCUGGGAAUAGGUGCAAGCGAGAAUUGAAUAAAAGCACUUUCUGACCUGGAGUGAACGAUUUUCUCAUAAUUUGCUUAUCAUGGAAGACUUUCAUUCGUUGCUUGUAAAUCUUGGCAUUUUCGUAUGCAUCAUUGCGAAUUUCUUCAAGUUCUGCCAGCUGUAAUCUUCUUUCUGAGCUGGCUUGCUGCAUGUCAAAGUUGAAUUUCUUGAUGGCCCAAUAUGCACGAUGCUCGAGUUCCACAGGUAGGUGGCAAGCUUUUCCAUACACUAGCCUGUAGGGUGACAUCCCAAUCGGGGUCUUGAAAGCCGUUCUAUAUGCCCAUAAUGCAUCAUCAAGUCGUAAUGACCAAUCUUUUCUGUCUGGCCUCACCGUUUUUUCUAAUAUGUGCUUGAUUUCUCGAUUGGAGAUCUCAACUUGGCCACUGGUUUGCGGAUGAUACGGGGUCGCCACUUUGUGUGUGAUUGAAUACUUUGUCAAAAGAGCUUUGAAUGUUUUGUUACAAAAGUGGGCACCACCAUCACUGAUUAUCGCUCGAGGGAAUCCAAAGCGUGAAACAAUGUUGCUUUUCAAAAAUCCUAUCACCACUUUGUGAUCAUUGGUUCUGCAUGGAAUUGCUUCCACCCAUUUCGAUACGUAGUCAACACCAACCAAUAUGUAUUGAUGGCCAAAAGAAGGGGGAAAGGGUCCCAUGAAGUCGAUACCCCAUACGUCAAAAAUCUCAACCACUAAAAUUGGAUUUAGUGGCAUCAUGUUCCUUCGUGUAAUGCUCCCCAUUCGUUGACACCUAUCACAUGAAGAACAGAAAGUGUAAGCGUCUCGAAAUAUAGUUGGCCAAUAGAAACCACAUUGUAAAACUUUUGUAGCUGUUUUCUUAGCACUAAAAUGGCCUCCACACGCUUGUUCAUGGCAGAAUGAAAGGAUAUUUUGAAUUUCACUUUCUGGGACACAUCGCCUAACAAUUUGAUCUGCACAAUACUUGAACAAAUACGGGUCAUCCCAAAAGAAAUUCUUUAUUUCCGCAAAGAAUUUAGCCUUGUCUUGCUUGGUCCAAUGCUCUGGAAGUUUACCUGUAACAAGAUAAUUAACUAUAUCAGCAUACCAAGGUAAUACUUCCACAUUCAUUAAUUGUUCAUCUGGAAAUGACUCAUUCAAUAUUAAUGGAUCUGUAAUUGUGUCAAAAUGGAGACGAGAGAGGUGGUCCGCCACAACAUUUUCUGUGCCUUUCUUAUCCUUGAAUUCCAAGUCGAAUUCCUGCAAAAGUAACACCCAACGAAUUAGUCUAGCUUUUGCAUCUUUCUUUGUGAGAAGAUAUUUAAGAGCAGCAUGAUCUGUGAAUAUAAUUAUUUUACAACCAAUGAGAUAAGAUCGAAAUUUCUCUAAUGCAAACACUACUGCUAGCAUUUCUUUUUCAGUAGUUGAAUAAUUCAACUGUGCAUCAUUCAAUGUCAUACUAGCAUAGUAAAUAACGUGGGGAAUUCGAUCAACUCUUUGUCCUAAUACUGCUCCUACUGUAUAAUCAGAUGCAUCACACAUGAGCUCAAAUGGUAAGUUCCAGUUUGGGGCCUGAAUGAUGGGUGAUGAUGUCAACAACUGCUUUAAUUUUUCAAACGCCAUGAGACAUGAAUCAUUAAAGAUAAAAGGUACAUCCUUAGCAAGUAAAUUGCAUAAGGGUCUAGAAACUUUGCUAAAAUCUUUAAUGAAACGUCUAUAAAAACCAGCAUGUCCAAGGAAAGAUCUUACUUCUCUGACUGUUUUAGGUGGAGGAAGAUUAGAAAUGAGAUCCACCUUGGCUUUGUCAACCUCAAUACCUUUGCUCGAAAUGAUGUGACCGAGAACAAUACCUUGUUUUACCAUAAAAUGGCACUUCUCCCAAUUCAAGACUAAGUUCUUCUCGGUACAUCUCUGCAGAACUAGCGUUAGAUGAUGUAAACAUUGAUCAAACGAGUCACCAAAGAUAGAAAAAUCAUCCAUAAAGACUUCAAGGAAUCGUUCAACCAUAUCAGAAAAAAUGCUCAACAUGCAUCGUUGGAAUGUAGCAGGUGCAUUACAUAAUCCAAAUGGCAUUCUCCUAUAUGCAAAAGUGCCAAAAGGGCAAGUGAAAGUAGUUUUCUCCUGAUCUUUUGGUGCUAUGGGAAUCUGAUUAUAUCCUGAGUAGCCAUCUAGAAAGCAAUAAAAUUCAUGGCCUGCUAAUCUAUCAAGCAUUUGAUCAAUAAAUGGUAAAGGAAAAUGGUCUUUACGUGUGACAGAAUUCAACUUUCUAUAAUCAAUGCAUACACGCCAUCCUGUAGUUACUCUAGUUGGUAUCAAUUCAUUAUCAGCAUUGGUAACUACUGUGACUCCUGACUUUUUGGGGACGACUUGUACAGGACUGACCCAUGAACUAUCAGAAAUUGGGUAAAUGAUACCUGCAUCUAAUAGCUUAAGGACUUCAGUUCUAACAACUUCUUUCAUGUUAGGAUUUAACCGACGUUGCAUCUCCCUAGUAGUUUUAGCAUUUUCAUCAAGGUGAAUGUAAUGCAUGCAGUCUACUGGAUUUAUACCUUUUAUGUCUGCUAUGGUCCAUCCUAAUGCCCCUUUGUGCUCUUUUAACACAUCCAACAACUUACCUUUUUGUUCGUCAUUUAGGGAUGAUGAGAUGAUUACCGGUAGAGUGCUUUCUUCUCCCAAAAACGCAUAUUCCAAUGUGUUGGGCAAUUGUUUGAGCUCGAGUUUUGGUGGUGAUUCUGAUGAUGGGAUGAGUUUCUUUUCUGACGGUGCUAGUUGUUCUACUCUUGACUUCCAUUUAUUAGUGUCCAUGGAUGGUGCUGAGUCAAGUAGGGCGUUGACCUCUUCGACCGAUCUAUCAAUAUCAAAAUCCAAACCAAAGUGAGUUAAGCAUGUUUGUAAAGGAUCAUCACUAAGGUUUGAAAGAAAAGUAUUAUCAACUAUUGUUUCUAUUAAAUCCACAUCAACAAUUCCAUCAUCUGCACUGUGAGGUUGUUUGGCAAUGUUAAAGAUGUUUAGCUCCAUAGUCAUGUUGCCGAAGGACAAUUGCAUAUUUCCGGUCCUACAUUGAAUAUGAGCAUCUGCAGUUGCCAAGAAAGGUCGGCCUAGAAUAAUGGGGAUGUGCUUCCUUGAGUCCUGUAUUGGUUGAGUGUCAAUUACAAUGAAAUCAACAGGAAAAUAAAACUUGUCUACCUGGAUAAGCACGUCCUCCACAAUACCACGAGGUAUUUUUGUGGACCGAUCUGCAAGUUGUAACACCACUGGAGUUGGGUGUAAUUCUCCCAGUCCAAGUUUCACGAAUACAGAGUAAGGUAACAAAUUUACACUAGCUCCUAAAUCCAACAAAGCAUUCUCAAUUGUGUGGUUCCCUAUACUACAUGAGAUAGUGGGGGAGCCUGGGUCUUUGCAUUUUAAAGGAAUUUUAUGUUGGAGUAUAGAACUAACGUUUUCUGUUAAAAAUGCCUUCUUUUGAACAUGCAUAUUUCUCUUUUUAGUACAAAGGUCUUUAAGAAACUUGGCAUAAGAUGGAAUUUGUUUUAUAGCAUCAAGCAAAGGGAUAUUGACACUUACCUGUUUGAAGAUUUCGAGAAUCUCACCUGUGGAUUUUCCCUUCUUGCCUUUAGCUAACCUCUGAGGAAAUGGAGCUUUCGGAAUAUAUUCUCGUGGGUUGGUUUCUUCUCUCUCCUCCGGUGGUGAGUCCUCAGCAUUUACAGGUACAAUUUGAUUUUCUUUUGUCACCUGCAUCUCCACUUUAUUGUCGACUUCUUUUCUUUUUCUCAAGGUCAUUACUGCUUUGACCUCUCCAUGCUGCUGUGGUGAACUGGUACUUGCUUCAUGCACUCCUUUAGGAUUAGGCACUGGUUGACUCGGAAACUUGCCUUUCUCAACAGUCAUUGCCAAGGUCUGAACUGAAGAAGCAAGCUGUCCCACCAUCUUCUCGAGGCUUGAAACUGAUUGGGCUUGUGAAUUGAAGCCCGCUCUCAACUCAUUUCGUAGUCCAUCAAUGGUGCGAUUCUGUUGCUCAAUCGUGGAGUGAGUAACAUUCUUGAAAUUCUGGAAUGCAUCCUCCCAUGGUCUGGGUUGAGAGUAGUUCUGGUUUUGAUUGUAUGGUCUAAAUGGUGGCUGAGAGGCUUGAGGAUUUUGAGGAAUUGGUUGCAUUGGUGGAGCUGGAGCUGCUGGUCCAUUCUGUUGAAAUCCUUGAGACCAUGAAAAAUUGGGGUGGUCUCUCCAUCCAGGAUUAUAUGUGUUGGAGUAUGGGUUGUAAUUAGAUGGCUUUCUCAUUACACCUAUGGCAUUGGCUUGAUCGGAGUAUGAGUCAUGGUCAUGUGGUUCUGUUGAUUUAGCAGUCGAUAACGAUGCUAUUUGUCGAGCAAGACCUUCAACCAUCUCCUUGACUUCUUUGAUUCCCGAAGUUGACUCGCCAAUGUGAACCUCAUUCACUCCUUUAAUCCUUCUAGUAUUCCUGAGUGAUCGACUCCGUUGUUGGGAAUUAUCCGCUUGUCGCUGGAAGAAUUCCCAAAUCUCUGUUGCGCUUUUUGACAUUAGCUCUCCUCCACUUGUUGCCAUUAGCCAUUCUUGCACAUUCGGCAAUAAUCCCUCCAAAAAGUAUUGGCAUUGGUGCCAUUUUUCGUACCCAUGAUGUGGACACUUCAAGAGUAGUCCAUUGAAUCGCUCCCAAGUUUCGAAAAACUGCUCGUCCUCUCUUUGUGUAAACUCUGAAAUUUCCCUGCGAAUAGAAUUGGUUUUAUGCACUGGGAAAUAUUUAUUUAGAAAUUUUGUUACCAUUUGUUCCCAUGAUGAAAUGCUAUUGGCAGGCAAUGUAUUAAGCCAUGAACGAGCUCUAUCCUUUAAAGAAAAUGGGAAUAGUCUAAGUUUUACAUCAUCAUCUGAAAAAUUUUCAUAUUUAAAAGUUUGACAAAUAGCAUGAAAAUCAUUCAAAUGAUUAUAUGGGUCCUCAUUUUCUAGGCCAUAAAAUGUGGGGAGACAAUUUAGCACACUAGGUUUUAAUUCAAAACUCCUAGCAGCUACAUUUGGGUAUCUUAUGCAUGAUGUGCUCAAAUUAGCUAAGGGACUAAAAUAGUCCUUAAAUGGCCUCUCCUGUGGUGCUUGUAAAUCCAUUUUAUUUUUAACGUGUUUGUGUGUGCGAAGUGUUUUUUCUAAUUCAAGGUCUAUAGGUUCAAUAUUAGGUAAUAAUGACCUACGACCAUGCAUGCAAAAUAAAUAAAAUAAAAAUAAAGAUGCAAACAAAACAAAAAAUAAAGAUGGGAACAAAACAAAUAAAAAAUAAAGAUGAGAACAAAACAAAUAAAAAUAAAGAAGAGGGAGAAAUUACGAUACUAACCUCAUUGCGCUAUUACAACCUUACUAUAAAAAUACACAAAAAUAAAUACGUGAAAUAAAUUAACUAAAAAUUAAAUUAAUAAGAUAAACAAAAAUUACAAAGAAAAAAUAAAUUGAAAAUUAAAUUACAGAAUUUUAAAGAAGAGAAAAAGAAAAGAAAUACUAACCUUUAAAUGUAGAUUUACUCUUUUUUUUUAAAGAACAAAAAAAAAAAAAAAAUACAAGAAAACAAUUUAAAAUAAAUUAUUCACAAAAAUUAAUUCUAUGAAUUAAAACUACUUACCUCCCCGGCAACGGCGCCAAAAACUUGUUGUGCAAAUUUUAAUGUACUCGCAAGCGCACGAAUCUAUUGUAGUAUAGAUCAAUGGUGACGAGUGUCGAUCCCACGAGGAGGUGGAUUUUAAUUGUGUAUAGAAUUAAUUUUGUAAAUGGGUGGUUGGAUCUGUGGUGGAAAUGAAUUGGAAUAUGCUAAAACUUAAAUUAAAAUGGCGAGAAUAAAUUCUAAAAUUGGAAUUGCAAUGGCGAGAAUAAAUUGAAGAGAAAUGUAUUGAAAUGACGUACUUGGGUAUCUGGAUCCGUAUCAACAUGCAUCAUGGGCUAAAUAAUCCGUAUUAAUGCCAAUUAAAUCAUGAGGGGGGAAUCCACACCUCAUGAACCACGCUCUAAUCAAUAUGGUGCUAAGGGCUUAUCGUGCCAAAUAAUAAUAACCUUAUACUAGAGAGCCGGUGUAACCAAGGCGGUAUCUAGACAAGAUCAGUAUUAUUUGUCGACGAUAAGUCAAAUCAUCCACAAAAACUAGAGGGGAAAAGAAAAUAAAUUUACCAAAUAAAGCCCAUGACACAUGUUGAGACUUCACCUUCAACCCAAGCUUGAAAGGAAAUUAGCUACUCAUAAUUGAACUAGGGGCAAAAUGAAAAUUUAUUAAAAUACGAAGAAAAUACAAGAUGGAGAAGGAAUUACAGAAAAUGGAUCCCAAAAAUGGAUUCAGAGAUAUCAAAUUAGGGGGGGGAGGCCCCUUUUUUAUAGAUACAUGGAGUAAAUCAUGGCCAUCGGAUUAAAAACAGUUUGGACGCUCAGGAUUGCGCCACGUCAUCAGUCAACAGUCCACGGUUUGACCACGCGGAUGAACAGUAACACGGUUUGACCACGCGGAUGAACAGUAACGCGGUUUGGUUGAAAAUAAUCCUGUGUGAUGCAUGCACCGUACGCGAGAUUUUUCGUCCACUGAUAUGCUGCCACGUCACCAUCAACAGUACAUAAGAAUUUUAGUCCAACAGGAUCGUGACACCUCAUCAGUCAAUGCCACAUCAUCGGUCAAUGCCACGUCAUCGAUCCGUCUAUGUGAACAGUGUCGUGAACAGUAACGUAGACAGUACCGUAUACGUGAAUAGUACCGUACAUGUGAAUAGUGCCAUUUUUCUUUUUAUGCCCCUCCUAAGGUUUUCGACCGUCCUGAGUUCAAAAGUGAUGUCCGUUUUGCCAUCUGAUCUCUCCUUUAUUGUGAAAUAACUAUAAUGCCCCUAAAAUACAUAAAAUACUUAAUUAAAAUAAAACACAUGUAAUUAAAUCACAAGAAGGUUAAAUACAUAAAAGUAAGGGUUGUUAAUAAGACUUGAAAUGUAAAAUGACGGUUUUCUCCUUUAUAAAUAUGCAUUUUCUAACACUCAACACUAGUGAGGUUCCAUUUAGGUGUAUUGGGGUUGUGGGUUUUGUGAGUUUUUUCCACUUUUGUAAAUUCUCAUUAUUAGUAAAAUUAUCUUCCAAUCUUUGCCCGUGGACGUAGGCAUUAUGCCGAACCACGUAAAUUAUUGUGUUUAUAUUUUCUUUGUAUUUGUUUGGCACAUUUAUAUUUCUCCAAAAGUUACAUUCAUCGUAAUAUUGGUAAUUGCUCAACCUCGCACUUCCGCAACAAUUGGUAUCAGAGCAGAAGGUUCGUGCUUGGGGCAUACAACAUUGUUCACGUAUACGGAACUGUUCACAAAUACGGUAUUGUUCACGUAUACGGUAUUGUUCAUUGAUAUGGUGGAGAUGGUCAUUUAUACUUGGGAGACAGUCUAUUGAAAGUAGUGUGUAUUUUUUCAUGUCUAGGAAAGUCCUGUCAACAAGGCGAUAAAAGCUUAAGGAGUCUGGUUUUAAGUGGGACCGUUGUGACCCCUCCAUUCUCCUAGGAACUUUCCUGGUGCAUUUAUUCAUGCGAAAUAAAUAUCAUAGAGGCUAUUUUUCAAGUGUAAAUAGUUGUUGAAGAAACUGAUCAUUUGAGAUAAAAAUGAUGGCAGAGGCAUCGUCGUCGUCGUCGUCUUCAUCAGCAAGGACUACUGUGACUAAUGCAAAGUUUGAAGUGGAGAAAUUCAAUGAUACCAAUAAUUUUGGUAUGUGGCAAUGUGAGGUGUUGGAUGUCUUAUGUCAGUAAGAGUUGGACGUUACUCUUAAAGAAAAGCCUGACAUAAUGGAUGACAAGGAGUGGAUAAAGAUCAAUAAACAGGUAUGUGGUACUAUUCGCCUAUGUUUGGCUAAAGAUCAUAAAUACUUUGUUAUAAAGGAGACAUCGGCAAAGAAAUUGUAGGAGACAUUGGAAGAAAAAUAUAUGAAGAAAAGUAUAUAAAGAAAAGCCUUAAAAAUAAGCUUUAUAUGAAGAAGAAACUUUAUCUAUUCACAUAUACACCUGGCAUGUCGAUGAAUGACCAUGUAAAUUCAUUCAACAAAAUAUUGGCAGAUUCACUAAAUUUGGAUGAGAAAUUUGAAGAUGAAGAUAAGACACUGUUGUUUUUUAAUUCCCUUCCUGAUGAAUAUGAUCAUCUCACUACCAAUUUGCUUCAUGGGAAGGGCAGUGUCACAUUCGAUGUUGUAUGCAGUGCAUUGUAUAACUCUAAGAUCAGAAAGAAAGAUAGAAAAGAUCACAGAGAUACAGUUGUAGAAGCAUUAACAACUAAAAGUCGUUCACAAGGCUGUAAACUUGGAAAAAGAAGCAAGUCUAAAGGGAGACCUGCCAAAGAUGAGUGUGUUUUUUGUCGCGAGAAAGGACAUUGGAAAAAGAAUUAUCCUAAGUUACAAAAGGAUAAGGCUUCUUCUUAUGCAUGUGUAGCAGAGUAUGAUGAGGAGUCAGACUUUAGUCUGGUUGGCAUGACGUUGACAUGUUACUUAGAUGAGUGGUUUUUGUAUUCGAGUUGUGCUUAUCAUAUGUGUCCUAACAAGGGUUGGUUUUCUAACUUCAAGGAGCUGGACGGUGGAAUUGUUUUUAUGGGCAAUGACAAUGCCUGUAAAACCUUGGAAAUAGGUACAAUUCAAUUAAAAAAUCGUGACGGUUCAAUCAAAGUCUUGACGGAUGUUCACUACAUACCAAGUUUAAAGAAAAAUCUCAUCUCAUUAGGAGUCCUAGAAUCUAAAGGGCUCACAAUCACUCUGAGAGAUAGAUUAUUAAAGGUAGUAGCUGGCACACUAACGGUGAUGAAAGACACAAGAAGAAAUAACUUGUACUAUUUUCAAUGGAAUACAAUUAUUAGAUCAGCAUCAACAGUUUUUGGAAGAGAUGCAGAUUCAGAAGCAACCAAGUUGUGGCAUAUGCGUUUGGGACAUGCUGGUGAAAAAUCUUUACAGACUCUAGUGAAGCAAGGCUUAUUGAAAGGUGCAAAUUCUUACAAAUUAGAAUUUUGUGAACAUUGUGUUUUAGGCAAGCAGACAAUGGUAAUGUUUAGUUCAAUAAUUCACGAUACAAACUUCCUCGGGGGAGCAUUAAAACCUUCGAGCAGAUGUGCCAGGAAUUUGCAGAGCAGUUUCGUGGGGCAAUGGCACCAGAAGAUGCCAUGAUGGAAUUGAAAAACAUGAAGCAGGGGGAAUAAUAAACACUUCGGGAAUUCAUCAAGAGGUUUUACCAUGUUGUCCUUGAUUUGGGAGCCUUCAACCAUCCUCAGGCAUUAAGGGGACUGAAAGAAUGGGUGAAGAUAGGAAGACUGUGGUACAACUUGAGAAGCCCAGUUAUUCAGACGUACGCCGCCGCAUACAAGCAGGCUAAGAGGGACAUUGAGAUUGAAGUGGAAAAGGCAGCACGGAUCAAGACAGACCAGUUAGAUGGGUUGGGGAAGAAAGAGAAGAAAGCAUUGCCAGGGAACGGGCCGAUCAGGAGGAGAGACCUUCAGGCCUCAAGUAGUGGAGCAGGAGAUCGGGUAACUACUGGCCAUCCUCAUCAGAGGCCACCACAGUAUCGGCGCAGCAGGGCGCAACCUCCUCGUUCCCCAGCUAGGGAGCCUUGGAGAAGCCAUGACUCGGCAUAUGGUGGUCUUCAUCAACACUCCCACGGUAGUAGGGGGCAGACCAGAAGUGCUGCCACCGCCUCCAACUCAGAACGGAGCAAAUAGAGAAAAAGCAGUGCACCUGAUCGACCAGAACCAGGACUAUGGGCAGUACACUUCCUUAAAGAUGUUCCUGGACGAGGUGUACGAGGCCAUAAAGGAUCGAGGGUUGCUAUACCUCCCUGCCUCAAUAACAAAACUACCCAGCAGGAGGGAUAAGGGACGCUAUUGUAAGUUCUAUGGCGCGCAUGGCCGUACUACAACAGAAUGUAGAGAUCUAAAGACCCAGGUCGAAGAUUUGGUGAGAAAUCGAUACCUGGACGAGUUUAUAGAGGGGACUUUCCCGAUGGUGGCCUCGACAUGCGAGGGGGAGCAGAGUGGCAGAAAUUUGAGGCACGAGUAGCCUACAGUAAGGGUGAUUGCUGGGGGCCCGACAUUGGCUGGAGAUUCCAACAGAUCUAGGAAGAACUAUGCUAGAUACGCCAUGACUAGUAAAGAGGUAUUCUUCAACACCCCGGCAGCCAAACGAGCAAGAGUCAGGCAAGUGCCAAUCAUGUGGACAGACGAGGAUGAAAAAGGGAUUUUAUACCCACACGAGGAUGCCUUAGUCAUCAAGGCCACUGUUGCUAGCAGGAAGUUUGACCGGAUACUAGUCGAUAUAGGAAGCUCGGUUGAUGUGUUGUUCAAGUCCACUCUAGAGGAGAUGAGAAUAGCAGACCUGAGGUUGGAGCACACCAACACCUCCUUGAAGGGAUUUGGAGGAGGAAAGCUGGUCCCCCUGGGUGUGGUCGAGCUGCCUAUCACAAUCGGAAGCUCCCCGACAGAAAGGACUAUGAUACUAGAUUUUGUGGUGGUUGAUGAAGAGGGUCCUUACCAGAUAAUCCUAGGUCGGCUGUUUCUGAGGAUGAGUAAAGCAGUACUGUCCAACCAUUAUCUUGCUCUCAAGUACCGGGUGAAUGGGGUAGUUGGAGUGGUACGAGGAGACCAGAGAAUCGCACGAAGCUGUUACUCCUCGGCAGCAAAGGAAUCGAUACAGAUAACAUCCCUUGAUACCCGAGUGAAAGCCAGGAAUGGCAACUUAUUGGACUCGGAGUUUACAAGCUGGUUCGCAAGGACGGCCACGAGGUGAAAUGCCCAUGGAACGCAGCACACCUCCGAAAAUACUUCCAGUAAGACUUGUUCACAUUUGAAAGCUAUUUCUGCUCGUGUUCAUUAUCGUUUAUCUUUUAUGUUUUAUAUCCAAACAAUUUCAUGUAAGUCGAAUCCUGCCAUUAAUGGAACGUCGAGGAAUUUCAUUCGCUUGAAACUGUGAAAAUUUCCUAAGGCAUGCAAAGGCUCGUCAAGUCUCAAAGCCUGUUUAUGGCGAGACCAGAAGCCAAGCGUGCCAGGAUCUGCUCGGCCACGAGAAGGCGAGCAGAAUCCCAAGCUUUGAAGAAAUUACCUAAGGCAUGCAAAGGCUCGACAAAGUCUCAAAGCCUGUUUAUGGCGAGACCAGAAGCCAAGCGUGCCAGGAUGUGCUCGGCCACGAGAAGGCGAGCAGAAUCCCAAGCGUUGAAGAAAUUACCUAAGGCAUGCAAAGGCUCGUCAAGUCUCAAAGCCUGUUUAUGGCGAGACCAGAAGCCAAGCGUGCCAGGAUCUGUUCGGCCACGAGAAGGCGAGCAGAAUCCCAAGCGUUGAAGAAAUUACCUAAGGCAUGCAAAGGCUCGUCAAGUCUCAAAGCCUGUUUAUGGCGAGACCAGAAGCCAAGCGUGCCAGGAUCUGUUCGGCCACGAGAAGGCGAGCAGAAUCCCAAGCUUUGAAGAAAUUGCCUAAGGCAUGCAAAGGCUCGACAAAGUCUCAAAGCCUGUUUAUGGUGAGACCAGAAGCCAAGCGUGCCAGGAUCUGCUCGGCCACGAGAAGGCGAGCAGAAUCCCAAGCUUUGAAGAAAUUAUCUAAGGCAUGCAAAGGCUCGACAAAGUCUCAAAGCCUGUUUAUGGCGAGACCAGAAGCCAAGCGUGCCAGGAUCUGCUCGGCCACGAGAAGGCGAGCCGAAUCCCAAGCUUUGAAGAAAUUGCCUAAGGCAUGCAAAGGCUCGACAAAGUCUCAAAGCCUGUUUAUGGCGAGACCAGAAGCCAAGCGUGCUAGGAUGUGCUCGGCCACGAGAAGGCGAGCAGAAUCCCAAGCUUUGAAGAAAUUACCUUAGGCAUGCAAGGGCUCGACCAAGUCUCAAAGCCUGUUUAUGGCGAGAUCAGAAGCCAAGCGUGUCAGGAUCUGCUCGACCACGAGAAGGAGAACAGAAUCCCAAUCAUUGCAGAGAUUACCUAAGGCAUGCAAAGGCUCAUCAAGUCUCAAAGCCUGUUUUAUGGCGAGACAGAAGCCAAGCGUGCCAGGAUCUGCUCAACCACGAAAAGGUGAGCAGAAUCCCAAUCCUUGAAGAAUUGAAGGCAUGCAAAGGCUCGUCAAGUCUCAAAACCUGUUUAUGGCGAGACCAGAAGCCAAGCGUGCCAGGAUCUACUCGACCACGAGAAGGCGAGCAGACUCCAAAGCAUUCGAAAAAAUUCCUAAGGCAUGCAAAGACUCACCAAGUCUCAAAGCCUGUUUUAUGGCGAGACAGAAGCCAAGCGUGCCAGGAUGUGCUCGACCACGAGAAGGCGAGCAGACUCCGAAGCAUUCGAAAAAAAUUCCUAAGGCAUGCAAAGGCUCACCAAGUCUUAAAGCCUAUUUUAUGGCGAGACAGAAGCCAAGCGUGCCAGGAUCUGCUCAACCACGAGAAGGCGAGCAGACUCCGAAGCAUUCGAAAAAAUUCCUAAGGCAUGCAAAGGCUCACCAAGUCUCAAAGCCUGUUUUAUGGCGAGACAGAAGCCAAGCGUACCAGGAUCUGCUCGACAACUAGAAGGCGAGCAGACUCCGAAGCAUUUGAAAAAAUUCCUAAGGCAUGCAAAGGCUCACCAAGUCUCAAAGCCUGUUUUAUGGCGAGACUAGGAGCCAAGCAUGCUAGGGUCUGCUCGACCACGCGAAGGCGAGCAGAAUCCCAAGCAUUGAAGAAUUUUCAAAGGCAUGUGGCAAAACCAUGUGCCAAGCCAGAACCUGCUCGACCAGACAAAGACGAGCCGAUUCUCAAACGAAAAAUAACUCAUGAUUACGACACAAGAAAGUAAUCAAAAAUAUUUUUAUUAAUUUGUUAAUAAUUAACAGAGGAGAUAAUCUUCACAAACAUUGUUCAUUACAAUACAAGAAACAUAUUUAAGAAGAUGGUGGGUCCGCAAGCCGAGCAUCCUCAGUUAGAUGGUCCACCUCAGGUGCUGGGGGAGUAUCUCCAGUUGCGUCUGGGGGGGUACUCGCCUCACCAGCAUCAGCAGGGAUUACACGGGGAGGAGAGUUUUCCUCUUCUAUCACCAUUGGUGCCACCUCUUCGGCAUCCUCCUUUGCAGCCUCCUCGUCCAUAUGUUGGGCGACACCAGCUGCAAGGUCGUCCAUCUUUAGAUCAGGAUGCUGCUUCCCGAGGACGGCCAUGAUGCAACGAUAAGAAUGCCGAAGUCCCUGGUCGUACUGGUUGUCGGCCUCCUUCUCCAAGUUCUCGACCUGACCUCGGUGGGAAUCGCGGAGGGAUUCGAGCUGAGCCUCAUACAUAGCCUUCUGCCUUUGAAGAUCCUCCUUGACCUUGGCCAGCUCUUCCUCGAGAGUAAUAGCCUUGGCUUGAGCAAGAGAUUCUCGCUCAAUCAACUUCAGAUUCUCGAGGUUUAAGUCCCCUGCUUUCUUCUCAGCAACAUCAGCUCUGGUCGUCGCCGACUGAAUGUCCUCCUUCAUCUUCCUAUCAUAACGGCCAACCUUGGCCUUAUAGUAGGUGGUCAUGCAGCUGAGAUGGAAAGCGCUAUACUGCAUGGCCCCCACCAGCUCGCCUAAGGUGUAGCCAUCAAAGUCCUCGAGGUCCUUCUUGCUCACGAUUUUGGAAAGCUCGUUGAGAUAGGGGGCCAAGUGUUCUGCUCGGCUGUCAGGUAAACGAGAUCUAUGCCCGACAAGAGGCGAAGAGGAAGCAGGAUCAGUGGCUGCUCCACUGGUCUCGUCGAGUUUGGCAGAAAGAAGAGGUAAAGUCUUCAAGGGAGAGACCUGCUGCACGAUGUUGGCCCGCUUUGCAGUAGGGGCAUCCUUGUUCUGGUCCCUCUUCGUGGUUUGGGGUCGAGAACGUUUCCUGUUUAGAGCCCCAAUCACGGCGUCCUCCAUCUUAUGACCAGGGAGUAUCAAGCGAGACUCGAGCAAGUUGUAUGUAGUUAUCAGCUCCCGGCUCGAGCAGGAAUUGGCUAGCACAGCCUCGACCCGUUUGAGCUGGCCAGGUUUGAGCGAGAAAUGAACACCCCAAGAAACUACAACACAAACAGACACUUGGUUAGAGACAAACCAACAAAGCGAGAACAAUUACGGAUACAAGACAUCUAAAGCGAACAGGCAACCUGGGACCGUGAAACGGGGUGGAACGCGAUAAUCCUUCCCGUCUAUUUGUGCAACUUGACCCCAAGGACCCCCAGCAAAAAAGAAUUUCCUCUUCUAAUUCCCACCACCACCAGUAGGGAGGUCGGUUAUGGGUUUCCUGGUCUUGGUACUAGAUUGAAAGUAGUACCAGCCGGCAUCUUUGGGGCUGCUCUUUAGCUGGUACAGGUGCUUCACCUCAUCAACUGUGGACUCGCUUUGGCAACAUCUGUCCCACAAUAUGAACAGACCAGAAAGUACUCUCCAACCAUUUGGGUUCAGCUGACCAGGAGAUAGAUUCAGCCCGUUAAGUAUCCGGGCAAAGUAAGGUUGCACGGGACACCUCAGCCCAUACUUAAAACUAUCCAGAUACAGGGUAACGUAUCCCCUAGGAGGCCGGCUAGGAGUAUCCUUCUUUCCUGGGACCUUAAGAGGGAUUUCACCAGGAAUACUAUACCUAAGCCGGAGGUCAUUGAGCUCAUCAAACGUGGUUAUGCAUGUCAUGUAAUCAAUAGCGUAAUCCCGCGAUAGGGCUCUACCUCCUAUUGUACUCCGCCCUUCUGGUCGCGACGCUCCUGAUGGGGACACCUCGCCAGAAUCAUCUCCUCGGCCCUCACUCAGGGUGUUCUCCGAGCCAGAAGACCCCUCUUCAUCACUAUCUCUGCUCGAGGAGGUCGUUUACGGAGACAUCCUCCUAGCGCUAGUGCCGACACUAGAUCUAAUGGGCUCUAAGGGGAUCCCGGGGUCAAAAGCAGGAUCAGUGAGCAGACUAGGCAGGAAGUCCAACUCAUCGUCGUCAACCUCAAUGACCUUCUCUUUACCUUUCGACAUUCCCUAAACUCUAACCACAACACCACCACCAACUACUACCCGAACAAAAGAGAACAAAAAUUAUCUACAACUAUCCGAGACCAAGGAGAUAGAAGAAAUACCUGAAGUAAUGGUUCAGUCGGUGAAAGACAGAGAUGGAGGCCUUUAUGCCGGAACUUCUUUGCCGGAGAGACAGGGACGGAGACAGAGGGAAUGAUGAAUUUGCUGUUUGAAAGGAUUUAGGUUUCCUAAUGGGGACGGCCUCUUGGGUUGCCAGCAUUUAACGGCACCAAAUCCCAAGGGCCUCGUAACCGUUGGUUUGAAAUUCGAAUAGAGGGGCAGAUUUCUGCCACAUCACCUCGUCCGCAAUUAAAUGCGAUAUGACUCUUGGCAGCCUUUUCCAGUCCCACGCGACCAAGAACCGCUAAGUUUCUACUGCUGGUCCAUUACAUUACCCAACACCAGAAACUGGGGGACCGGUGUUUGAGGGAAAUACUCUGACGAGACCAGACGUGAUGAGCAGAUGUUUGGUGGUAGAAGUCUGCGAGCAGGUGUGUCCUGUAAGAGCCAGGUAGCAGGGGAACAGGGGCAGGAAUAUCCUGCUCAUCCACGAGCACGUCAUCCGCGAGGCCAAUUUCCUGUAAGAAGCAUAAAGCCAUUCCUGCUGUAUUCUUGCUAAGGGUUGAUUCGAGGAGACCCGGUCAACGACAGUUGGCGAGGCAUGCUCUCCAGCCCGAGAAUCUAGGCACGAAGGCCACGCAACCACCCACGACUACGGAAAUGGGGAAUCCACGUUCGAGAGGUGGGAGGAUAACGGACGUAGACUGCGGAAAACUGGGAUUCAGAGGAAGCCUAUAAAAAUGUAGCCAACGAAGGUAAAAUGGUUAGCAAUUUUGAGAUUAGAAGGGAGAUAAAGAAAUUCUAAAGAAGAGAAAACUACCCAAAAGCCAUAAGAUCUGUGGCAAGCGUUCCCCGAACCUUCAUAUCUGACUUGAGCGUCGGAGGGUUUGCGUCGGGAAAACAACCGGCGUACUCUGACUUGUCUGUGUGCGCAGGAACCUCUGGAGAAGAAGCUUUACGAGGAGAGAUCCUGGUCGUGGUGAAGUUGAUCGAGCAGAGACCCUGGUCGUAGAACGAGGAGAACCAGAAUCUCGCAUCAACAAAACGUGUAUUUCAACCUGAGUACUAGCGAUUACCAGUGACUGAUUAACACUUGUUUUAAUUGUAUUCAGCAGUCAUAAAAAUUUACUUUUUCUUGUUAUUUAUUUAUACCACACAUUUUGACUACCACAAACUUAAGUUGCUUGGCUGACGUAUUUACCACAAAUAAAAACUAACAUUCGAGGUUUUUCUUUCGACAUUUCUAUAGAUGUUUUAACAUUUUAGAUUACAAUAUUUUUCAAAACUUGAUUUAGUCACUGAUUGUUGACUACGACGACGACAAAAAAUCUAUUUCGUUGUGAAAAGGAAUCCACAAGAGUACAAGACGGAGCCUUGAUCCAGUAAUAUUACGGAAAAUGGUAUUUUGUUUCCUUACAAAUGAAGAGAGGUUCUGUCUUUGCAGUGGGUAAGGUGAGGGUAUAGAACAUAUUAAUGGCUUUACUUAUCAUCAUCAACUUCCUUCUGUGUCUCUCAAUCUUUGUCUUCUUCUUUGUUUUGCAAAGGAACAUAACCUCAAGAAAUAAUACUAAAUUACCACCAGGCCUCCGGGGCCUUCCUUUCAUCGGUAACGUGCACCAGCUUGAUGUCUCAAAGCCUCACGUGUUAUUUUGGGAACUGUCAAAAAAAUAUGGCCCCCUCAUGUCCUUGCGUCUUGGGUUUUCGCCAUCCUUAGUAGUUUCCUCGGCGAAAAUGGCUAAAGAGAUAUUACAAACCCAUGACCUUCAAUUUUGCAGCAGGCCAGCCUUGGUAGCACAACAAAAGUUAUCUUACAAUGGUCUUGAUUUAGCGUUUUCACCCUAUGAUGAAUAGUGGAGAGAGAUAAGAAAAAUUUGUGUCAUUCAUCUCUUUAACUCUAAUAGGGUACAAAAUUUUCGACCCAUUAGAGAAGAUGAAGUUUCAAGAAUGAUUGAAAAGAUUUCAAAAUCAGUUGGUGCUUCUAAUCCCGUAAACUUAAGUGAGGUAAUGAUGUCUCUUACCAGCACCAUUAUUUGUAGAAUUGGUUUUGGCAAGAGGUACGAUGAAGAUAAAGCAACAAGUGGAAGAAGUAGAUUCCAUGCCCUGCUUAAUGAAACUCAAGCCUUGUUUGUAAGCUUUUUUGUUACAGAUUAUUUUCCUUUCAUGGACUGGAUUGAUAACCUCAGAGGAAUGAUGAAACGCCUGCAAAAUAACUUCCAAGAACUCGAUGGAUUCUACCGGGAACUCAUCGACGAGCAUUUGGAUCCAAACAGAACUAAAUCAGAAUUGCCGCAACAGGAGGAUAUAAUUGAUAUUUUACUUCAAAUAAGAAAAGAUCGUGGAUUUAAAGCUGACUUGACUUUGGAUCACAUCAAAGCAGUGCUCAUGGUGAAUAAUUUUAUAAAUAGUUAUAUGUAGACCGGUGCUUAGGCACAGACUCAAAAUUUUGCGCAGAUACCCAAUUUUACAGUCUUGUAAAAUGUUUUAUAGUGCUGUCAAGUGCUCUCUGAUGUCCCCAUCUGAGCACGAUUAACUUAAUAUAGUUUUAUUUGCUUUAACUAAUCUUAUAUGUAUAUAUUUAUGUUCUUUUUUUUUUAAUUUGCUUUUUUAAGUAAUUUAAUAUGUAUAUAUGUAUGUUGUUUGUUUGGCAGAACG